AGACUAGCAAACUCUUGAGGUGGGUAGUACACGAAACAAAAGCAAAAUGCAACAAUGCAGCAGGAGACGGGAAAACCAAUCAGCGACAUGAAUCUUUGAGGGAUACUAAUAGCAACAGAAAAGAGAGUGAUUCAUCAUCAUGGCAGCAAAUUGGACUUUAUUUCCUUGUGCCAAAUAUGGUAUCUUGAAUACAGUUUAAGCAUAGUAGAAAAGAAUACCACAAGGUCAGCAUCAGACUGGUCAGCUAACUUCUUACACCCACAAAAUCCUUACCAAUUACUAAAAUAGUAUAAAAUAACCGAGCAUUAUAAUCCUUUUUUAUGUUUGUUCAACUAAUACUGUUUUUUUUUCAACAUAACUUACAGAUAAAAUCGCGUCCCCAAAAUGAAUUUAAUCGAAUUGAGGAUAUACAAGCUUUCAAUACAGAAAAAUCUCUUAAGACCCAAGCAAUAUGGAUAAACAAAAAAAAAACGACCAAAAGAAGAGUUUAAACAUUUAUCUUUAGAUGAGCACUUAAUUCUCCGUUUUCUGACAGUAUAUCUAAAUCAAACCAUAAGGCUUCAAUGAAAAUUUGAAGCUGGAUAGCAAGUCAAUUCUUGAUGAGGAAAAAAAAAAAAAGGCUAUGAGAUGAACAUAACAAAAAGAUAAUUAAAGGAAUCAACCAAGAUCUAUGUGGACUCAACCCACAAGUAUCAGCCAUCACCUUACCAGCUGAAUCAACAGCAGACAGAACAAAUGGGAGGAGGUAAAAUUCAAGAAGAUAUUAGAACAACUCUUUGGGUUAUUGUGGAAAGAAUGUAUAGAAAUCCACAUAGGAUAUCACCUUGAUAGUUAGGGACAAAUGGAGACUGUGAGGCAUUCUUCCAGUGAUCAUGGACCAAAAAGAAAACAGAGCAGAGCGAGCAGCAGCAAGCUGGCACAACAAAAUACUCUGCAGAGAGUUGUUAUAAAGCCAUUGAUACAGGCUGACAAUUGGAGACAGAAGAAAUGUGACCAGUAAUGCAUGAGAUGAGAAGAAUUAGAGGCAAAAGGGAAAACCUUAGAGAGUAAUGAAGUGAAAAAAAGGAAUUAUACGUGGAGGAAGGGACCAACUUUCAAGAGAAAGAGGACAAAAAAAAGUAAUGGGGAAAACAACUCACCCCACAACUCGAGGACCAGCUCAAAAAGCCAAACCACAAGGAUUUCAGGGAUUACCUAGAGGUGAAGUCCAGUUUUGUAUUUUUUCAAUAUACACAAUGAAGAUUUAUACUUACUCGAAAAGCCUUAGAAGAGACCCAUAUCAAGUGUCAUCCAAUUAUAAUUAUUGUCAGGGACAUCAUACGUGAUCAAGGGUUCAGCCACAAUCUGGCCAAUAUUUUGUUACACAACCAGCACUUGCUGAUUGAGCUAUGUCAGCAAGUAAAGAAUGAUGAUAGUUUCUUUAACUGAUGUUUCUAGACAGCUUUAUAAGUUAUAUAUGACGAUCAGCAAUUAUUUUUACCAUUAUCAUUUUAACACAACAAAAAGAUCUACAUCAAUAUGCAUAGGUCUAUAAGACAACAGAUAUGGUACCAAGGCAACCACUAACUGAUUUUUACGCCCCAGAAACACCUUUGUUUACAAAAGUUAAGAGUUGCAGAAAUAAGAAUGUUGAGAUGGAUGUACGGUGUUAUUAGAAAUGAUAGAACAAGAAAUCUGUAUAUUCAUGGACAAUUUAGAUGUUCCAAUCAAGGAGAAGUGACAGGAAACCAUUGAUAAUAUGAACAUGUCCUUAGGAGUUUGAUGCCUCAGUUAGAUGAAGUGAAUAGAUUGUGACCGAUGUGGAGCAAGGCCUAUGAAGUUGCUCCUGGUUUGAUUGGUAAUAUUGCACUCAGCAUAGCUAAAUGGUGGAAACACAUGCAUAAAGAACAUCUCAGAUAGCUAAGAAAUUAUGGGUUUUUUUAUUAUUGCUGCCAUUGUCGUCUGCAUUUUCAUGCACAAUAAAUACAUUCACAUUGAGGGUGAAAAAUAAUCUGAUAUAGACCAGAUAUAAAAACCUAUAUCAUCCACUAUAAUUCAGCAAUUCUACAUACAGAGAGACUAUAUGCUAUAACUUUUUACCAAUUUUCUAUAUACACUGUAUAUGGUUUUCUUGUCUUGGGUUUUUUUAUCUUCUUAACCAAGAAAUACAAUUGGUAGGUUUGAUAUAGUCUGUAUAUCACGGCACAUUGAUAAUGUAAUGCGUAUAUAUACAAGGAAAGGAAGAAAAAAAAGAAAAUCAUCCCAAAUCAUAUGUAUUGUGAUAAAGUCUGUUCUGGUAUAGAAAAGUGCAUUUAAAUGUAUGUAAAAUAGAUCAGAGUGCUAGAAAAUUGCUUUUGGGUGUGUUCACAAGAAUUCUGUCAUUGCAAAUCCAGUAAUUAGCAUGUGUAAAAUUGCAGAGGUAGUUAAGACACAAUAAUCUACAGCAUUAACACACUAGUUAAAUCAUUAGCUUUACUGGUAACCACGAAAGACAUAUAUGUAAUCCAGUGAGUGCAUGAACAAAAUUUUUUAGCAUUUAGAAGGCCAGAAUUUCAUGGUUCAGAAAAUUCAGUACCUAACAAAGGAAAUCCAUAGGCAAGUAGGCAGAUGGAUGACUAAAAGAACUAUUUUUUCUGGAAGUAUAUAAAAAAAGCAUUUACCUCAAAGCCUGUCAUGUCACAAUAUUUCUUUGAUGGAUACAAGGAUGGAGGUGACUCGAUAUUUAGAUCUGGAAUGAGAAAAUGAUUGUUAAUGUUGAAAAAAGCAUUGUUACGUAAAAAAAAAAAAAAGAAUGUUAGAGGUAUCUGAAUGCACAGAUUUAAAACUAAGCAUCCCCAUUUUCAAUUCUACAUGAGGCAUUUAAAAUUCUCAAAAUUUUUAAAUAAAGAACUGUCCACAAUCUGAAGAAAGUCUCAAAAGUCUUUUUUUUUUUCUUCCCAAUGAAAUCUUCACCAGAGUAUACCACAAGAUUGCCUUUUCUUGCUGCCAUAUGGGGUCAACCUGUGAACAAGGUAAACCCGAUGGAAUGGGAACCAAAAAACAGGAGGGUACCGCAUUGGGCAGAAGACGAUCAAAAAAGCGAAGGCUCACCCUUCAAAGCGCGGCGUGAGAUAGGCGACAUGUAGCUUGCUUCCAAGCCGGCCUGGCCCGGCCACAAAGAAUCGAUAGAUCUUUGCCGGAGCUGACUUGGAUCUCAGGUGACAAAAUAAGGCGACCAGAAGCAGCAAGUAACUGUGGUCGAAGCUUGGCUCUAGCCGAUAGGCUAGCAGUAAGCUUGGCUACAGCGAAGCGCUAUCGCAUAUAUUUCCAUUUAGAAGUCUCCCAUAUAAAUUCAAGUCGCCCAUAUUUCCCCAUUUCUUCUCCCUAGCUUUCAAACCUUCUUUUUCAUUUUUCCAUACCUUCUUUUCUGUAUCUCGCAAAUAAGAUAUUGAGUUUCUAAGAACCCUUAUUAUGCAUGUCUCGUGGAUCGAUGUUCCACAUAUAUACUCGACUUUCAUUCUGUAGGAGACCAACUUUUUAAAAUUACUGCCUACGGAAGAGCAAUUUGCUCUAACCAAACCCACUCAAUCAAGUAAAUCAACAAAAGGACAACGAUGAAGACUUUCCUUCCUUUUUUCUACGAUCUAGUUAUCAACAAUAAUAUCUAAUUGGGCAUAACAUCAGAUAAAAGGAAACUCUUAGUGGACAAGGAGGAAAAGGGAGAAGAUCUAACAGUUGGGUUCGUGGGCAGGUAGGGAGGCGUAGUUCUCGGCUUGGAGAAUCUGCUUGAGGUGCUUCCAGUGGCGGCCUCUCGACUGUCCCUUCGGAUACUUGUCUGACAUCUGCACCCGCUUGAAGGGCAGAGCCGCCGGCAACACCAUCUCUGAGCCCACCACCUCCGCCUCCAUCCUUGUUGCCAAACUGCCGCUAAAGAAUCUGGCAGAUCUUAGAGGAAAAGAAAGAAGAAACGAAAUCACCAACAAACCGAGCCCGACAUUAGGUAUCACAUACAUCUCGAAAUCAGAAGGAAAAGGAGAAGCGGAGAGGGAGGAAGAGGCGAACCAACUAUCGGCGUCGAAGGCGAUUGGAGCUGCGAAGGAGAAAAGGUGGGAAGCCGCGGCCGAGAACGGGAGGAGAAGAAGCCCUGGAAGAAUGAACGGGAAGCGGGUACGGGUAGAUAAAACGAGGCGGUCGGGCUUAUAUAGGAGUCCAGUUGUGGUUGAUCCGAACCCGAUCCAACUCACGAUCGGAUCCAUCAGAUCCGACCCGAAAUUCGACAACCUUGAUCCAGGUCUGAUCCAUUGAACGGGUCGGAUCUAAUUGCAAAGUUCGAUCGAAGAGUACAUUUAGUCGUUCUCGAAUAAAACUCCUCAAAUUUUGACUUUGUCCAAUACAAUUCCUAAAGUCAAAAUGUUGACCUUCGUUUUCGUCUUCUUCGAUCCUCGAAAUCUAGAACUCGGUUUCAUCACAAGGCAACAAAGAGCAGUGCGAAAAGGCGCAUUGUUGUUCUGCCAUAUCUCUCCUAGAGGAUUGUUGUUCUUCAGUUCACACUCCACGAUCUCCACCGGUCCUCCCAAUGGAGGCCGAGCUGAGGCGAGUUCUCCCCGGCGUACAUGCAUCCUCGAGCUUUCUCUUUUGUAGUAACCGGGAACUACGUCGCCUGAGCACGGUUCCGUCGCUCGUAAGGGGAGCAGGGGAGGCUGACGAAGGACCGGGGACAGGCGACAGGGGAGCAGCUUCGGCUUCAGAAAUGACGUUGCCUUCCUCCUCGACUCCGGCAAGAGUGAUAUCCGAUUCAAAAGAGAGAUCUAAUGCCAUGAAUCCCGAAGGGGCGACUUCCUCCCGGCGAUGGAGGACCACAAAAGAGAUGUCAUCCAUGGUGAUCAUAGGCGCGGCAGACGGAGUCUGGGUCGAGGGAAGUUAUUGAUGCAAUAUGAAACUGUGGGAAGUAAUGGAAAGGCCCAUUGCUCCAUGAACUCUUAUUUCUUGGUUGGAAAGACUUGGCUGUUGUCUUCGAUAACUAUGCUCAUUCUGAAAGAACAAUGGAGGAGUCAUCAAUGGCCUUUUGGCUUCUUGAGGUAACCACACAGGGGACCAAGUGUUAGGGAGCAAUGCCAACACUUUUCUUUGGAACUUGGAUGGUCACAAAAGCCAUCACACAAUUAACAAUGUUUAUGUUUCCUUGAUUCUUUCAUCUGAGUAAAUAUGCAUCUUUUUUAGUGUGCCAUCUUCUUUGUAAGUCCAAAUUUACUGUCAUGUGGAUGAUGAUGAAUGACUUGAAGAAUGGUGGAUAGCCAUUUCCUUUCUAAGAAGUUGAAAUGUGGAGGAAGUGUAUUGAUUUUGAGUGAUCAAUCUACUAAAUUCGAGUGAGUUUUUUCCUUUGAGAAGCAAAGAAGAAGAAGUGUUCAUGUCUGAAGCUUUACAUUAGAACGAACCAUGCAGCAGUGAGUCUCAUCCUGUUGUUGUGAGACUGAUCUCAGCUGCUACAGUCGCUGAUUCAAGAGAGCCCAACAGGUUUCAGACAUGAGGCAGUCACCACCACCAGCAUGAGGCCCAGCGUCGCGCUUUCCAAGCAAAAGUGAUGCCUAGAGUUCAUCCCAAGAAGAAGGAUGACUCAGAAUUCUGCAGUGGGUUAGGCUUUGCCCAGCCAACUGCUUGCAGUCUUCCCACGUGCCACAAGUCAGUGGCUCCUUGUUCCUUCUCCUCCCCUCUGAUUCCAUAAUUGACAUCAGAUCCACCUCAAAAGGAUCACCAAAUCUCUGCAGUAUUAAUACUUGGCCUUAGUUGUGAAUCCCAUGGGUUCUGGUUUGGCUGUCCCAUCUGUCACCUGCCAACCCCCUUAAAUGGUGUCUCUUCAGUUUAGUUUGAUGGCACCUUCAAACCUCUGCAGCCUCUUCAUGAUGCCCACCUCAUCCGGCUUCUUUCUUUGAUUGUUUGUGUAGAUUAUCCAAAACCUACAAGCUGAUCCAAUUCUUACAUGCACAUCUCACAUGUUCUUGCAGAGGAAACCAUGAGAGUACAAAGAGGUUUACAUGUAAGUUUGGCAGCAUGUUACUUUCCUUCUCUCUUUUUUCUGUGCUGUGGAUUGGCUUGAGCAUGAAGCAUCUUUUCACCACCCUGUCAAAGACUGAGACACUGUCAACAGUCUCUUCACCUCUCCUCUAUUUUUCCCAAAGAUUUAAACGCUUUGCUGGGAGUGAACUGUUCCUCACCAUGAUUGUAGUACCUGUGAGCACCAAAAUGGUCCUCAGAGCUGGGGGAAAAAGACAACACAAAGGGGUCUUUACUUGCUUUCACCCAUGGCUUCUCCCUUGCCAUAUAUGGGUGGGGAAAUCAUGACCCCACCAUAGCAUUCUGAGCCAGACGAGCCAGGGAGCUGUUGCUGUGAAGGGGGGCCGUUACUAAUCCUGAGAGGAAAGCCUGUGCUGGUGCAGGACAUUAGGUGAAGUGAUGUCAAGAGAAGUCAGUGUUGGCUUGGCCUCUUUCCAUGGAGGCACUCAGUGUUCCACUGGGGAAAUCUUUGGGUGGCCUCUCUUUAACCUUUGGAAACCAAGAGUUGCAGAGGAGAAAAAGAGUGUCACAGUUGCCAGUCACCAUUCAUGGCUAUUCAUGAUAGAAUGACCAGCUACAGCCUUCAAAACUUUGGCCUUCACUUCUCCCCCACACCACCUGCACAAGAGUAAGUUGUCUCAUGCUGAUGUUGCAGAAAAGAGAGAGUGACAUUGCCAUUCUCUUCUUGUAUGUUCUUCAUCAACUUGGAGCAAUGUUGUUUGGAGACAUGGCCAAUAGAAAUCUGUUGUGAGCAAUCUUCUGGGGGAAUGAAACUUCUGCUCUCUCUAUCUUCUGGGCAACUUUGUCCACAGCUUAGGAACUAACAAGUUGAUUGGAGCUGUAACCUGCUUCAACUUGUCAUGCUUGAUAGAGUUUCCAUUUUAAUGUCUCUAGUCCAAUCUCUCAUGAAAUGGUAGCAAUAAUUCAUCUGCUCCAAUGCUUUUACUUCUUGUUUAUGUAGCAAGUUUGAGGAGGCAGAGAUGACUUCCUCCAACAAAAGAUUUGGUACAUUGCUUGUGAGUUGAAUGAAGGCUGUUCCAAGCAGGCAAAAGAGGACACUGUGCUUGAGAAUUUCCACAUGAUGUGCCCCAUUGUCAUCAUGUCUCACAUCAAUGGGAGAAAGCUUCCAAAAGAGCCUCUCACAGAGAAAGGGAACUGAAUUGGACUUAAAGCAUAAAGAAAGACAAACCUGGCAACAGUUGACCAGGAAAACAAGGAACAACUUGGUUUGAGCUUGAUUGGAGCAGCAAAUAUUAAAGCAAUCAUAAGAUUCUUUCUGCAUCACAUAUGAGAACACAUUUGCAGGUUUCAUGGAGUUCUAAACCAUGACUUUCACUACUUUUCGCAACUGAGAAUAUAUACUGUUCUAUACUAAGAACAUAUGAUGAUCAUACUAGGGACUAUGGCAAAGGUCAUAUGAUGAAGGGUUCUUCAAGGUCUCAACAGCAAUAGCUUCACAAAACUUCCCCUCUCUCACAUUUUGUGGUUCUAUGUAACUUUACUGUUACCCUCUUCCUACGUUGCACCGACACCUAGGAAGUCAAUGAAGGGUAUCCUUAUCUUCUCCCUUCCAUGAGCAGUUCCUCCAUGGGGCCAAGCAUUGCUCAUGUGGAAGGCCACUGUGUCACUUGCUGAAGCCUCAGAAGUGGAAUAAGGGUAAUCGGCCUGAUCAACUCCGGGAAGCAACUCCAUGGGGGCAACACUAAGUUUCCCGUAGCAUCCAUUCUUUGCUGGAAGUACACUCUCAUGUAAACCUGCACGUAAAGCAAGCAAGAGAUAAGAGAUCUACCAAACACUUGGUCUCGUAGGCAAUGUAAGAAGACAGCUUUCGACAAGGAAUACCAUUGUAGAUGGCAUAGGGAUGUAGCCGUCGGGUUGGGCUGGUGGAUAUGUUGAGGAGGUGAGGCAAAGCUCUGCUGGUGAAGGAAUUGAGGGAGAGGUCUGUGCAGGUGGAAGCAGACUCGUCUCUGAUGCUGGUGAUGGUGGACUCACCACUGCAAGCAUUGAUGCUGGCGAUCACCUCCAUCCUCCUAGGGAGGGCCUGAGUUGAGGGAGGAUGGAGGGAGGGAAGAGUGGAGGCCUUCCUCCUCCUAUAAGCGUUGGACUGCUCCCUGUGCUUCCUGGCCAUGAUCACAUGCCAAUGAUUCUUGACUGCAUUGUCUGUCCUACCAGGGAAGAGCCUGGCAAUCAGUGCCCAUUUGUUGCCAUAAAGCCUAUGGGCAGCCAAAAGCCUCUCCUCUUCUUCCUCGCUGAAGGCGCUCCUGUUGAUCCUUGGGUCCAACUGGUUGAACCACCUCAGCCUGCAGCUCUUCCCUGUCCACAAAUGUUAAAACCCAGAAACAAGAUAAGGCAGAGGAACUGCACAUACAUCAGCAAAAGUAGACAACAUUUUCUCCCUGUUGAUGCAUGCAAGUAGAUAACCAAAAGUUCUUUCCAGGACAAACAAGGAAAACAAAAUGCCUAGUCUUUGUUCAUAUUUGUGUAUGAGGGUGGAUGAGAACCUGAUCUUCCAUCUAGUUUCUCAGCAAUCAGGUUCCAGUUUUGGGGGCCAUAUUGGGAGACAAGCUCCUUGAGCCUGGCAUCCUCAGCUGGCCUCCAAUGACCCCUAACACAGAGCUUCUGCUGCUGGCCACUCUCAUGUGUAGUAUCAUCACCACCUUCAUCUUCCUCAUAAUGCUCUUUCACCCCUGCCAGACACUGAAACCCCAAAGCUUGUUCACCACUCAUGCAUUCCCUCUCUCCUGAGGAAGAGCUCAUGUUCCCCAGAAAUGAAGGUGGUGGUGGUGGUGGUGGUGUAAACAACCCCAUGUCACCUAUGAAGGUCAAAGAUGACUGAAUGAGAGCUACAACAAAUUGAAAGACAAAGCAAAAAAGAGUGUAAUGAGCUAAUACCAAUACUCAAGGGAAGUGUGAGGGGAUCAAAGCCUUUAGAACAGGAUGGAUAACUGCAAACACUCAUCUAAGAAAUGAACUUAAAAGAUUGGCAAAGAAAGGGACAGAUAACUAGCCUUUGGUACAAGAGAACAACAUGACUCUCUCACUCUCUCUCUCUCUCUAUGCUUUCCCUUAGUCUCAGACUGAUAGCACUCGGGCUGUGAGCACCGGGGGUCGCAAAGCACAGUGUUCAAAAGGGAACCACUCGUGUGGGUUGGGAGUCCGAGUCCCUUACCAUUCUCCUUUAUAUUGGAGCUGCUCUCUGUCCCUCCAAGCCUGGGCAAAAGCACCAGAACUCUCUUGUCCAUUAGCUCCCUCCCUGUUUUAUCAACCCCAGAAAGAAAAGAAAAGAAAAGACAGAGGACAGAAACAUAAAGGUAAAGGAAAAGAAAUUGAAACACAUCAGUAGAGGCAGUAGUACAAUUGCUAGUUGGCCAUCUCAUUUUUAUGUUACCACUUUAUUUACAGGGGUAUGUAUUCCUUUUCUCACUCUUGUCCUCUAGUGUGCCUCAUCACAACCUUUCUUUCUUCAUGUUCAUCACACAUAUAUUUGCUUUCAGAAUCAUGAUAACAUUGUGACUCUCUCUCAUGGCCAUUGACAUCACUACUACUGCCCAUAGAGUUCAUGCAAAGUAUGAAGCUUAAUGUUUGUAUAAGGCCAUAAAGCUGCUAAAACUGCUGAUUUGAUCAAACAUUUAUCUGGAGCUGCAUUAAUCAAUCAGCAUUAUCAUUCAGCUUUCUUGUUUUCUACCUGUAAACAUUCAGCUCCUUGUGCUGCAACAUAAGUAAACAAGCUCUGAUGUUGGUAGGCCCAUAUUAGCCUAAUAUAUUCCAAUUGCCUUGCCAACAUAAUCCAGUUGAACACUAAUCAAACUCCCCACCACUUGCCUUCCUCUACUUGCUGCAUAAAAAAGGGCUCAAAUGCAACAUAUUGGACUGCUUCAAUCACAUCAUUAUAUUGGGUCAAAUGCAGAGUAUCAGUAAGAGAGUACUUCAAUGGAAUUGCCAUACUUAGCUUUCUCUUAGCUGUGGAAAUGCAGAGUACUUCAAUGGAAUUGCCAUAUUUAGCUUUCUCUUAGCUCAGAGAGAGAGAGAGAGAGAGAGAGAGGUUAAGGAAACUAAUGACCAAGCUUUGCACACCAUGAUGCUGAGCACCAUCACAUGAGGAACUAACAGAGCUCAGAAGCCAUUGCUGUGAUUCAUCUUAUAUCAUGUCAAUUUAGGUAGGCACUCAUCAGUCAUCCCCUGCCGUGGCUAGGCGCAUGAUGGCAGCCACCACAUUUGGCCUCUACUGGAGCAGUUGCAGGUGGGCAGGGAGACAGCAGAGCGAACUGCUUCCCUUCUCCCCUUCACCGACCCACCCACCCGUCCCAUUUCCCACAUCUUUUUUUGUUCCUCGCUCUCUCUCUCUCUCUCUUUCUCCUCCAAUCCUUUUCAGUGUUACAGCCCACCACAAAGGUAUUAAUAUUCUCCUCUCCUUUUGCUCCUUUGACAGCCUUCAGGAUCUUUUGAAGGGGCGCACAGCCAUGGCUGGAAAUCUUCGGUGCAGGGAAAUGAUGGGCAGAGGACGGCCGCUACGGGCAGCUUUAAUUUGGAGGUACGCUCAGAGGCAUGUGUGGGGCGCGGCGGCAACCCGUAACGCUCCGGUCGCGUCGUAACGGGGACGCGUUCGGCGACUCCCUCUCUCUGUCAUCCGUCGUGGCAUCUACAGCUCCCUUUUAUCGCCUUUUCCCGGAAAACGCUAUCGCCGUUUCGUUAUGGCGGGUUGGACGCUUCCGAAACCGUUUUAUGCUUCAUGCGUCUGUUGCGUUACGUGCGACAGCGAGGUCCUGACACGUGCAACGGCGCCGUUGUUGCAUGACCAGGACACGCGUACGGUCACUUUUUUUUAGAGAAAUAAAAUAUCGUAGCUGGAUUUUGAUUCCUAACAAACCAUUCAAAUUGUAUUGGGCCUAAUUGGGCCGUGCGGCCCGAUUCUCAUCAUAGCCCAUUGGCAGACAACAUCGGAUGGAUAAGUCAUUCGCUCGAAGCCCAAUCUCGGGUGGAUUCGGCCUUCCUCUUUUGCAGCCGGUCCACAGACUAUCCAAUCGACAAUCGCCACGUCAAUUCGAUCAAUAAGUCAAUGACUCGGGAUUUGAUCCGAUCAGCAUCUGCUGUGGUGCUAAUAACUAUACCCCGGACGACUAAUUUCGUCGACGUUGCUCGAUUGGACAGUCCUCGAAGUCGAAUGGAAGCACAGGAAUGCAGUAUUGACCAUGGCUAAGGAAACUCUAAUCAGGGAUCUCAUCUCGUCUCGUCACCCCCAAGGCUAUCUUUAUCCGGUCUGCUCCACCCACACGCUCAGGGCCCAAAACCCUAGAUGCCCCCUCCCCAAAGUACAGAGAUCGCCUCCCGAGCAAAGGGAGAGAGAGAGGCAACUGUGUGGACACAGUAACUCACAGGACAUGACGAGGGUAGCUGCCGAGAGACACCGACCAAGGGCCCGUCGGCUAGGCUUUUGGGGCACAUGCACAAGGAAGCGGGUUGGCUUUAGAGAUCGGUGCAGCUUGGACCCUUUUGCGGCACUGCACCAAGCUUUGCCUUCCUCGUUCGGUCCCAUCCUCGCCUGCUCACUGUUGCUUGAUCACAAAAAGCCACGGGAAGCAGACUCACCUGUGUUCAUCACAGGAGUUUCUUUAUUAACGUCUUGUACUUGCACAAUAUACAAUUGCCUUCCUUUGUCAUGUCCGGCACCACCUUUGCCGGGGAAUCCAAAACAAAAGUAUGGCGGUAGAUGUUUAUGAAUCACCAGCUUCAGCUGAUAACGUGAUUCCAUCAUGUGUUGCCUUCCGAACAGUGUCGUGCAUUAGCAGCUUAUAAUCAAAUCGACCGACAGCGGCUCUUCGGCUCAAAGAACGCAGCAAGUUCCAACCAUCAGCAAAGUACUGCUUGUCUGCACAAUUAUGAUGUUGAAUGCCAUUUGUUAACAUUAGAACUACAUCAAAAGCAAAAGGGCAGAAAAAGGUUCUUUGUAUCUGGUUUGACUGCCAGUAGCUUUAAGAAUAGUUUAAAGGAGCUCCAUGAUCACUUAGGGUGGACAAUGAACAUGCAGUUCAGAGAUCUGGUCUCAAGAGCCUUGUAACCUAAUUAAGAAAAACCCUGGUCGAUAGAAGCAGCGGAAAACCUUGGAAGACACAGAAUGAGGUGACACCGAACAGUGUGGCACAUGGAGGGCCCUUUUGAGGAAGUGUAAUGGGGAAUCUUCAUGACAGGGAUCAUCUUUGUUUGAGGAGAGCGACUUCAUGACAUUCUCAUCUUUGACAGUGCAAUUGCUUAAAGUAUGACAACCUGACAAACAAACAUCACUCACUGGACCUUUUUGACUAAGGUCACCAACCAAGAUGCUUCUGUUUGCUUAAUGAAGCAUCAUCUCCUGUCUCAUGCCCUCGUUUCUAGGGUGAUGUUUAGUAUUGGUGAAAGUGCAUGGAUGACAGAUUUCUCUUGCAGAUUAUUCUGAUUCCAUUCGGGCGGUUUGUCCAUUUGCCGCCGUAUGAUGGAUCCACACACACACAUCAGUAAAUUAUAAGGAUGAUUUUGUUCCAAGGUAACUCCAAGAGGAGCAGCAGAACUGCUGUAUGUUAAGCUGGGAAUAGUUCUGAUGACCAGAAGAAGAUGAAGACUGCACCUCUCUCGAUGCGAUCAUGUUAUCCUGUUUCGGGUAAUGGGAAUGUCGAUCGAUGGCCUGCCUUGUACUGAUUUGUUGCAUGGAGUUACGUAGCAGUCAUGCAUGGUGAGCUGAGCUGCGGUAAAACUCCCAUGGAGAGGGAAGACGACCGACUCUCCCACGGAUUUAUCUCGAGGACAAGGACAAACCAUGCGUAAUGGUGAAGGCGACAGAGGCGACACCAACAAGCCUCCGCAGUCUCCGCUGUCACAUCGGGUUCUGAUGUGAUAAGACGGCAAAGCCAGCCGAACUUUGGGCCAACCCUAUGCCUGCAUCCUUCGCCACACCGCGUAUAUGCUUCUGCUGCCUUCAUCUGAACCUGUCAUUUCCUUCUUCCCAUGGGUUCUCUGUGCCCAUGCGUGCGACGUCAGCCCUAAUGAUUCGGUGCUGCGGUUCUUUGACCAUUCGGUCUCUCGGUCUUCCCACAUCCCCACGCUUCGCAGCGCCCCCUUCACACUGCAAUUGGACACCCAACAUAGGAAACAUUAGACUUCCAAGGUCAAUGUUGACCAAAAGAGCCCACAUCGCAUGCAAUAUUUCAUGAGAACCAUGUGGAAGAUAAAAGGUAGACGGUGUCAUUUUGGUCAUUUGAGUUUGUCCUAAGCAAAAGAAGACAGCCCCUUAUCCUCUCCAACAAAGCUAUCUAUAAAUACCUCACCCCACGCUUGUGCUGUUCAGGCAUAUGCGCAUAGUGUUCGAUCUUUUUCGAUCUUUCUCUCUCUUCUCACAUCUCUUGCACUCGCCAUGGACGGCCGGAACGGCAGCCCAAACCGCGGUCUCGCCGGCGCGGAGCCCGUGCGCUCCCGCUGGACCCCGAAGCCGGAGCAGAUCCUCAUACUGGAGUCCAUCUUCAACAGCGGCAUGGUUAACCCCCCCAAGGAUGAGACGGUGAGGAUCCGCAAGCUCCUCGAGAAGUUCGGCUCCGUCGGCGACGCCAACGUCUUCUACUGGUUCCAGAACCGGCGGUCAAGGUCCCGCCGCCGGCAGCGGCAGCUGCAAGCCGCGGGCCUCGCGGCGGAUCCCGGAGCUGCGAUGCACGCACGCCAGGUCGGUGGUGCAGCUCUGUAUGAACCGACCUCGACCGGCAUGUCAUCGAACAACUCGUCUGGUGGAGGCAGGCUCUUUGCUUGCUCUUCUUCUGCUUCUUCUUCUUCUUCUUCCUCCUCCUCAUCCUCUAGCCUUGUGGGGGAUGAUGGAGGUGCCGAUGAUCUCUUCUUCUCUCGCCAGAUGGGCUUCAUGGAGAGUUGCCAGAAUCCUUUUAUGUGCUAUCCUGACGUCGGUCCAAUGAACUAUCAGCCUGGUUAGCGCAUGGCUUUGUGCUUACUCCUUUUGCAUAAGAUUUUAGUGGGUGCUCAUUGGAGAUAUAUAGUAGUAAGAUUUACUUACACAUAUCACAACUAAAUUAGGAUUAUAUUUAUUGUUUGGUUCUCGAAUUCGACAGCUCGACAAAAAGGAUUAUGUCGACCUAAAAGCAAAUGAUUUGUGUUUCUCUGCUCAACUAAAAGCAGCUCCUUCUUUUGGAGUCAGAAAGAAGCAUGUUAUCAAGCACUCUCAGCAUCAACUAAAUCGAUCGUUUCAUGUUUUCUAUCGAUGAUGCCUGUUCUUCUCCUAAUGUCUUGUUGUUGUUUUCUUCUGUUGCAUCGAUGAGAAGCAUGCUAAAGAUUAUUUUGAGGCAAUAACAAGUGAAAUAUUGAGUUCACCAACUGCAUGUUUGAAUGCAGGGACCAUCACUGUCUUCAUCAAUGGGAUCCCAUCAGAAGUUCCAAGAGGACCUAUAGACUUGAGAGCUAUGUUUGGCCAAAAUGUGAUGCUCGUCCACUCCUCCGGAGAGCUUCUUCCCAUCAAUGAAUACGGAAUUCUACUGCAGAGCUUGCAGAUGGGUGAAAGCUACUUCUUGGUGAGCUUCUCAAAACAAUUAAUGCUUCUAAUAUCCAUUUCUCUCUCUCUUUCUCUCUCUCGCUGUGUGUGCACAUGUGUGUAUACACAUAUCUUCAUGUUUAUCCGAAGAACAAGACAUACCCCAUGGUGUGAAUAGUAGUACAUGGAAAUGUGAUCUACUUCAUUCCAGCUGAAUGAUCAGAUUUUAUAUCACAUAUAAAAGUUUUUAUCUUUAUUUGAUGCUUGUGUGUUAUUUAUGAUUUGGAACUAUAUGCUAUGCCAUCAAAAUAAGUUACUUCUUAUCCAUCUUCAAGCUUAGAAAGUCUCAAAUAUAUGAUAUUUCACUCAGAGACCAUUUAGUAUUCCAUGUUCAGUGGAGCUGAUGUUGGUCUGAACACUUCUGCUUUCAUGCAAUGAUAAAGUUCAUGAGAUAGAUUAAUAUGAUUUUUACCUCUUGACAGGUAUCAACAUCUACUUAACCCAUGAGAAAUGGCAUCAGCAGAAUCAAAUGCCUCUUCCAGUGAUCACAAUUUCAGAAGCAAUCUCACCUCUUGUCCUAAUUUAAUGAUCUACCACAUCCUUAUGUGUCUAAUUAUUACCAUGGCUGAAGCUGUUUGUAGCUUUCCUAUUAUUAUUUAUCAUUAUGGUGUUGUAUGCACUUGAUAGUGUUUGCUGGAAUACAGAAAUCUUAAUUGUAUUUGCACCUUUGUUUCUUUAAUUGCAUUGGCAGAGUGCAUCAAAAACACUACAUCUUGGAACUACAGAUCUCCCAAGUGUUCUGGAUCUUACAAUUAAUUUGAUUGAAGGAGAUCACAUAUGUAAGAGGAUGGAUGUCUGAUGUCUUCAAUAAAAUUGUAUGCUUCAAAUUAGUUUUUGUUUGGGUACAGAAGUCCACUGCAAACUCUGUUUUCAUUUUGUUGAAAGUUCAUUUCACAUUCUAUCUACAUGAGUUGCCAACUUUAGCAUUCUCUAUUACAUGUGGAUCAUCUUAUCUAAGCCUCUUUGAGCAGCAUCUAAUUUACUUUAGAGGUGAAGAGUAAAUUUCAUGACACAGUCUGAAAUUUUCAUUGCUUUUGAGACCCACAUAUUGGCCUUGUCUUUGCUACUGUUUAGGUCCUACACAGGGAUGGACAUGAAAGAGAAGUACAAUACACCACAGGAAACAGAGAUGUUUAAGACCUUGUAGUUUUCUGAUGACUAAACAAGGAACAGGUGUUCUCUUCUUGCUAAGAGGAGAGACAGGAGUUUUCUUUUGAGAAAGAAAGGGUUCAGGAACUGUUUAGAACAAUUGGUCAUAAAGAAUGCAAAUGAGCCAACAAACAAUUUUGCGGCUGAGAACAAAUGCACUGCUUUAACAUCAUUUGGUUCAUAUGAAGAAGAAGAGAUGAAAUGCUGCUCUCUCUGGUAGUUUUCAGCAGAGCAAAGUGGCCUUGAUCUCAAACAGUUCUUCACCUUUGUCUGAGCUCAACAAGACAGAGUUAAUUAUCUGAAACAAAAGCCUUGCAGAGGUUAACACAGUUGCUUCAUUCCUUCUUUUUCAUGUAUCCAAUGUAUUGUUCUACCCAAAGAUUCUUCCCUUCCAACCUGGUUUACUGAUUCAGAUUCACAUGAGGAUCUUACAUGAUCUCACAUGGAAACUUGGGGGAAAAUGUAGCGGAUAAUGAUCUCUCAGAUGCAAUCAAGGAAUCUUAAUCUUCUUAUUGACUUGAUGCAGCUGGUAAAUAAAGUUUUACAUGUCACAUUACAAGGUUGCAUUUUUGAAGUAAAACUGAACUCUACAUGAGCUUCUCAGUAGCUUCAGCCAUCUGCUGAAUUGUACAGUCUUCAAUUCGCUGCGUCUUCCCGAACUAACAUCUCUCUCGUUCCGCCUUGAGAGAGGCAUAUCAGUGUGAUGGAGAGAGCAAGCUUUGUGCAAACCACCUUCCAAAGCAGUCUCUCUUUCAUCUCUCUCCCGCCAAAACCGCACCUCAGGGAACCUCCAUCCGCUCGGGUGUUCCCCGAUCCGACACCGCGGCCGGCGCAGACCACCGCUUUGGCCGCUGUGUGGACGACGCCGAGAUCAGCAUCUUCGACGCCGAGCGCUACUACAACGAAGGCCACGACGGCAUUAGCGGGACCGUGAUUCUCGACGGAGCGGGCGAAAGGUGCAACCUUUCCACCCAUGGAGGGAGUUCUCGUUCUCCUCGACCGAUGGCUACGCGAGGCACGGCCGAACGCGUUCGUUCUACUCGACUCCGACAGGCUCGUCGGAGGCCAGCUGGAAUAGCUAGUCGGGGCUACUCUCCCACCCCGCCGUGCUCCAUCGCUGUCGCCGCGAGCGCCUUGCUCUUGAACGAACCAGCGAAGCCGCCGUCCUUCCCCGCUUGCCGUCUCUUCGGCCGCAACUGCCCGUGUUAUGGGAGGAAGUCCGUCGACGUUGAUGAGACGUGCUCGGAACCCAAGAGCUCGAUUCGCUCUGGUUCGGAUUUGAACGCGUCGUCCACCGCCAAAAAUCGCUGCUUUAGAACAGGGGAAAUGGGCCUCAAUAGCUUCCCGGACAGAGUGAUGCCGGAAGAGACCAAGAACGAGUUCGGCUUCGAGGAGAUGAUAAAGGUUAGAUAAUUCCUGGAAAUCGUCUCAAAAGUCCCAGCUUCUUAGCUAAUUUGACUCGGUCCUUGCUUCCCGCCGAAGUUGGUUGCCGGAUGGUGAAUUCCAGCAGCCUAUUCGGCUAUUCCCAUGUCUUCUCCUGCCCCGUGUUGAAUCCGUCCUCUUUGAACAACCUCGCCGAAGAACCACCACGAGAAUCUCUGGAGGUCUUCCGGCCAACCAGGCAUACCGCAGCAGCGCUGAGCACACCACCGGAUUCACAACUUGCCGCCGUGGUUUUCCCAUUCUCCGACCAGGUAAACCGCCGAAGUUUCACCCGAAUCCCCCGCCAGACGACGACGUGGCGACCUACACAAGCUCAGACCUUUUCGAGAUCGAAAACUUCUCCACCCAGACGACCUACCGCCGACCCGACUCCCUCGACUCCCGCGACCAUCUCCGUGGGGGCCUUGAGGCGGAGGUACCGCCACCGUCCAAUGCGCCCAGCGAGGCGAGCGUCGAGUGGAGCGUCACCACCGCUCCUUCCGGGAGGAGCACGAGCGCUGCGCCGCCACGGGGGGGAGGCGGAGAUGCCGCGGUCUUCUGAGCUGCCGAAACGGCAAGGCGGUCAGCGUCGGCCCAAUCCCGCUGCGAUUAACAUCUCCGGUCGGAUCGAAUGCGGUGCGCAAACCCAAACCCGGUUCGAACGCCCUAAACCGGUCGGAGGCGGUUUAGAAGUCCAAAGUGACGUGUGUUGUCAUGAUUUCUAUUUGGAUUCUCUCAUUAAUAAUAAUCUAAUGCUGAAAAUUAUUGGAUUCUCUCAUUAAUAAUAAUCUAAUGCUGAAAAUUAUUGACUUUCGUAAUCUCUCUCUCUCUCUCUCUCUCUCUCUCUCUCUCUCUAUGUUUAUAACGUUUAGAUACUGCUAUUUAAUCUAUUGACUGUAUGCUGUGUGUCCUGCGGAGUACACAUCUUGUGACACGUACACCAACACGAAGGUAACUCCAACAAGGCCAAAUACCCUCAACUUUGUGCUGCUACAGCUAUCGAUUUCCAGAUUCAAUGUGUCACCGUCUUGUUAUACCUGCCUGCAUUGACAACACUGCUUGAUUAGAUUUCCAUGGCUGCACGACACCUGUUUGUAUAAAUGCACCAUCCAGCACCAGGCUAACAGAAGACUCCAAACAGGUGGGUCUCAAUCAGAUUCCACGUUGCCCCCGAAUCAUGGAAGGGUUUGAUGUGGUUCUUGAGCUUAGAGAAGACCACCUCCAUGAAUCAUGUCAUUUUGCUCACCUAACUGGCAUGUGGACCCAGCCUCAUGUCUCUCUGGAGCAGGACAAGCAGUCUGGAAACAGAUCCAUGCUUCUUUGGGUACGAGGAUAUAUGAUUCUGCUUUGCACCUUCACAUGUGGGUGACCUGCUCAGGGCCUACUGAUAUGGGGUAAACCUUUAAUCUUUUACUCGAUUUGAAGAAUGAGUUGAACAACCAUGACUUCUGAAACUUGCAUGUUUUAGUUACUGUACAUAUAUUUUGUUUACAUUGUGUUGUUGCUGGUUGUUCUUCUGGUCACUAUUUUGACAUUAGUUAUCUGUAGUGUCAUGACCAAAAGUAUCUUGAGUUGCAUUCUAGUGACAUAUAUCUAUAUGUAUAUAUUCAGCUUUUUGGAAUAAUUAUAGUUCUAGUUCAGUUCACAAUCACAGCUAAAGCUUUGCCUAUUGUAUGUGCAUCAAUCAUGCAUAAUACAGAAUUUCUGUAUAAUCAAUGCAUUUGUACCUGAAGUAGAAAUGUGAUGCUUUCAGAUUGUGUGCGCGCGCCAUGGAAUAGUUAUACUUCAUGGGUAGUUAGUACUUGAAACAUUUACCAGCUUCCGGUGCUAUCUAAAAGAAAUAGAAGAAGAAAAAUCUUAUCCAUGUUAGUUUGAACAGAACUAAGAACUCACAAAAAUGACUGCUUACAGUUGUGCCAUAAGUUUCUCAACCAUCCACAAUAACCUUUCUGAGAUGCAGAGAACUUACAUGUUUUAGAUGAGUAGGUUGGCUGGAUAUAGAUUAUAAGUUUGAUACUCCCUUAAUUUUGAAAGAUUUUGUAGCAGUAGCCUCAGAGUAACAGCACUCCAGUGAAAUGAACCGUCCAGGCAGUAAACUAUAGAUGUUUUGCUAAGGAAAGAAGGAAAAAAGUAUACCAUACGAUCGAUGGAUUUGACAUUGUCCAACCCUCACAAACAAUGAACCACACCAUUGCUAUUGGACUGAUUUUUAUCUGGUUUUCCCUUUUGUGAGCUGGUUUCAUGAUCGCAUUCACAUUACAAAAUUGCCUGAACAAUGACUCUUUGAUAUCUAAUACAUUGUUUUAGAUAUUGAAGAACCAAUCAUUCUGAUGCCAUGUUGUUGACAUUGAAAUAAGGGUAACAUAAAUCUCCAGUUCUGAAGACUCUCAUCAUUAUAUUGUUAGUUGUUUCAUUUAUUCUAGUGUAGAUUACAUAAUACAAUGUGAUCAUUAUAUGUUGAGGGAGAUUAAGAUAUUAUAAAGGCCAUCCAUGAGUUUGGUCCCUUCAUGAGGUAGUUCCUGCACAGUCUAGUUAUUACUGUUUUAUGAGAAUUAAAAGAGAGGGACAUUAAUUCCCACACAGAAUACCUGGUCAAACACUUGGGCUCUUGAACCUUUAAAAUUAUCAUCUUAAUAUAUGUUCUGAAGUUGAUUUAUGCAUCAUGACUUGCACUAGUGGAGCAACCAAUCCACUAGUAGACAAGCAAAUUAGCACCAAACAAACCAAUACCUGAACGCACUACUUCUUGCAAGAUGGAGAGUCAAUUAAACAUUCACAGAGAGACGAGAAGUAGUAUUGCAAAUUAAACCUGUCACAAACUACUACUCUUACUCCUGUAAUUAAUACACAGUAAGAGGCACAGUUCUUAGAGGUUCCAAUCCUUUUUGUUCUGCAUUUUUUUGCAAUUUAGUGGUUUUAACUUUGUCUCAGAAAAAGAAAAACACUAUUUUAUCUUUUGUUUUAUAGUUAGAGCUGAUGCUCCCUCUUCAGAACCAAACAUGGGCCAAGAAAUCGGAAGACUUUCUACUCUGUGUCAGCUUGAUGGUCUACAGUAGUGGAUAACUGUAGGGAUUAUUAGCCCAGGAGUACCCACAUGAAACCUUGUCUUGAAUUCCAUGGUGAAGGUUCUAUUGUGGCACUCCUGAUGACACACAAUAAAGGUCACUAAUAUCUAUAAAGACAUCAAUUACAGUUUAAAUCAUAGCUUAAAAGAAUUAUAAAUGACAGAAUUUUUGUAGGUUGAUAGGUUUAAUUGCUACAAUGUUGACAAAAUCAACACUUAAUAAGUAUAUGUUCUCUAACCUAUGGUGUUCCUCUAAUUAAAUUGAAAGUUGUAGAAAGCCACUUUGCUGACUUCAGCUCUAAGCAGAUAAUGCAUGUUGUUUAUAGUUGCUCAUCAGCCAAUUAGGAUGUAAUUCUAGAGCUAAAUGUAAACCACAUCUCUGUAAGUCAUACAUGUUGGAAUUGAAUUCUUUAUCUAGAACUGAACUUUCAUAUAGAUUAUUAGCUCACAUCCUUAUCAAAUGAGUCAUUUAGUAAUCAAGUGUCCAUGUUGUUGAUGCUGAAACUUCUCUGACACAGUCUAAACCUUAGAGACAUGUUCUUUGAGUUUAUCUGCAGAUCACAGCAAUGAGGGCCAAGAGAUGUUAUAUUCUGAUCAUGUAUUGGACCAACAGAAAAUUAUAUCCAAUCAAUGUCUGCCAAAGAAAGAAAACCACAGUUGAGGACAAGAUGGGUCUGAGCAAAACCAGUGGCUGUAGUGUGUUUGCAGCCACUGAUGAAAGCAAUCCUCCUAUCACAUCUUGAACAACUGGGACUGGAAUGGGCUGUCACUUGCUAUAUAAAGGUUUGCUUAUAGAAUCUUUCUUCCCCAGUAUGCAUAGGAUGAAGUGAUAGUUAGGUUCAGACCAAUAGAAUUUGUGUUCUCUAAUCUCUUUGGACCAGUCUCCCAUUUUGAUCAAAUUUUUGACAUGAUUAUAGAAGUGGAAUACAUAUUAAAAUGAAUCAAAUGAUGAUAGUGUUACAUGUAAAAGACACCAUACAGUCACAUCUCAAGGGACUUGAAUGUGUAUUAACUCUUCAAGCUCUCAAAGGGAGCCACAUAUUUUGGAAUGUGCCCCUUGAGCAUAUCCUCAAGGUGGCCCAUGCACAACUCUACCCUGUUCAUAUAUGGCUCCAAGUUGACUGACCUCAUCCUCAUCAUUUACAAGAACAUUUCACGUGUUGCAGAAAUGCUAUGCUUCUCACAGAAAUCUCAAUCUCAACCUUUUGGAUUGCCCCUUCCCUAGCAUGGCCCUCCUGAGUCAUGAAGUAAUAAGAUCAUAUCUAAUCUCAUGUUAAUUUUGAGAGUUAGAAAAUCAAGAUGUUGUAAGGGGUCCAUCCUAGAACAGACACUUCCUUGCGAGUUUCUGUGCUCGUAAUGAUGAAAACAAAUAAUGAUUUAUGUCAUGAUAUAUGAGAGAAACAUUGAUCCCGAAACGAAGGGAGUUUUGAUAAGAUCAUAUUUAGUCUCAUAUUAGUUAUGUCUCUAUCUCCUAGAGUUUGGGGGGCUUAUCCUAGAGCGGAUAAUUCCUAGGGUGCUUGCACCAGAUAAAACCUAUCUCUAAGAAGAAGAGUCACAUCAGGAAGGUCAGGUAGGACUUGGCAGGUUUUAAAAGGCACUUUAAGACUUUGAGCUGCCAAACUUUGCUUUAUCAACAGCACUGCAGAACAGGAGGAAUUAGAUGGCCUAUGCAACAUCAAGCAUUGUGGUGAGUUUUGAGAUAUGGGGACUAACAGCAACAACAUGAAGUUGUGCUUCAGAAGGUUUUCUCCCAACCUUCAUAAAUCAAGCGAUAAUUGGAACAUCCAUAAGGUAAUAAUAACCAGAGCACAUAAAUCAAAGACUUUAUUCAAGUAUUUUCAGCUGGAUUAAGUCCAUAAGGCAAUAGUAAUACUGAAUUGAACAAGGUAUAGAAAGGUAUGACAGUCAUACCUUCCGAUGAAGACAUUUAGGCACAAGAAUCAUUUGUUUGUAACCAAUACUAGAAGCCAAUAAAGUUAUGCAAAACAAUCCAUAUUGACCUAAACAACAGCAAAAUUACAUUUUAAUUACCACAACAUAAAGUUUAUACAUAAGUUGUCUAUCGAGAUUCUAUUGAGAGAUUGGAUCAAACUACUUGGUUCAUCAGUUCCUGCGAUUCAUACAAACCCUACAACAUGUACUCUCUCCAAGUCACUCUGAAAUACUAAUUCUUGCAUGGUCUACUAAAGAAGAAGAAACUGUGAUAUAGUGCAGCGAGAUCACCUGAACACGAGGUUUCUAUAUUGAGAAUCUACUCCACUGCAUCUUGCACGAUACUUUGAUCAUAUGAUCCAUUGGCUCAUAUUAUCUUGGUCAGGUCAUGACCACUUAUUUCAGUAGAACCAGCUGGAUCCAUCAUGCUUCUGCAGCGAACCCCCCAUUCCUCUCUGCGAUACAUCAGAAUAAUCCAUUGCAGGUAUGUUUAAGCCAGAUCUGAAUCUGAAGCCACCACUUAAUUCAUUGGGUUGGUUGCUGAAUUGUUGCCCGAAUGGCAUCAUGUCCUCACGGAGGAAGAACUGAGGUUGCUGAACCAAGCUGCCAACUUGUUCGAAGAGACUGCCACCCGUUCCUGUCUCCUGCCUGAAGAAGUUGUCUUCCAUCUGAAUUCUGCUCUGGAGAGAAUUUGACCCUUCCAACACAGAAACGCUUCCCAAAGUCAAGCUCUUGUUACCAUUAACAUUGUUGUCAUAGAAACCCAUCAACUCAUUGAUCGACUUUUGUCCAUCAGAAGGAAUUCCCAAAUCAGAGACAUGUACAGGAUUGAGGCUUGACCCGAGCCGAGUUGCAUUAGGUUGAGCAUUCGAUGACAUAGGAACAACCGGGGGCUUGCUCUCAUUCACCUGAAAGUUGUCAGAUAGCAUUGUGAGAGAUUGAGGAAAUGUGUUCUGAUACUUGCAGAGGUACUGGUGUCUGUUUCGAGCAUUCCUGUCUGUAAAUCCUUGGCGAAAAUCAUGGUGUGGGCACUUUGCAUUAUCGCAGGUGUAAACGCGCUGGUUCAGCAUCAGUUGUGGCUCAGCAGCAGUUCUCUUUUGGAUGAAAUCACAGUUGAUCUCUUCUUUCAUUGGCACGGAGAUGACAAACUUCUCGUUCCCCAUGGUUGCACUCAGGCUAAAAGUAUUUCCAUCAGCAGCAGGAUUCUGAAUUACUGCAUCCUCGCUCUUGCCUUCAUCAGCACCUUCUAUAUCAUAAUCGCUGCAGCUGCUGUUGAAGGAGAUGGCACUCCCGGAGGAUGGGGGAGGGCAAGUAUUCGGGUGCAGCUUCAAAUACACAUCCUCUUCCUGCUUCACAACAGCAAGCCAUGUUGCGAUCUCCUUAGCAGUCAUCUUGUCUUGAAGACACUUAGACUGCCUGACUAGCCGACGAAUCUUUUCGAUAUCAGGAGACAUAUGCUUGAUCACCGCAGUCAAGACGCUAACUUUCCAAGCCUUCUUCAGAUCAUGUGGUUUCUUGUAGGGUGGCGGGCCCUGAUCUUUCGGAAAACCCAAUUCAGGCCACCACUCCUCCCUUCCAGUAGGCCACCACGGCGGUGCAACUCCCUUCUCCAGGGGGAACCUCCGCUGUGGUGGGUCGCAGUGCUGCAUAAGAGCUGACAGGAGAGAGCCCAACGUGGUGUCCUGAAGCUCCUGCAAAGAAUGAGGGCUCACAGUCCCAGGGAUCGUCUCACUACUGGAUCCAGGGAUGGCAUUAUCGGCCUGGUACUUGGCUAUAGCCGCAGGUCCGUUCCUGUCAAACCUGACCUUCUCCUUCCACCAACCUCUAAGGUUGUCAGAGGCGCCGCUAACCGGUUUGCCCUUCUCUGGAAUAAUACCAUAAACGAAUCCCUGAGCUUGGCAUACCUCCAUCAUUUUCAGCAUGUACUUAAGGAUCCCGUCCUGUGCACGAGACAUCUUCUUUCGACGGGCUUGCUCCUGCGACUGAUGCUGCUUUGCCGUGUCCCCUUGCUCCUUGUUUUUGUUCUGUUGUUGUUCCCUCAAACGCUUCAAACGCAUCCGAUCCCUCCACAUGCGUCGUUCGAGCUCUUCUACGUCGAUAUCUUCAUCACUUUCUUCAUCACCAGCCUCAGCAAAGUUUUCGGGAGGAGGAUCUACCAGGUCUCCCUCUCCCACUAUGCAUUCACCCAAUGAAGGCUGAUGGAGGAGGCUACCAUAACUAAGAUUCUUCUCAUCAUUCGAGGCGAAAAGUUGCGCGUAAUUAGGACCUCCAGGAUACACCAUGCCCUCCAUUAAUAGCCCCCCCAUCAUCGCUAUCAGCCGAGGCGAUCGGAUCAGGUCUAUGUACUCGGAGUCGAAUGGCAGAUGCAAUAUUCACUGCAAGAGCAUGAGAAAUAAAGUUCAGGCAGCGGUAAUCCUCAACCAUAUCACGCUGUCGGGUGAUAUUAUUAUCUAGAAAACAUGUGACAUUAAGCAAUUUGAUGAAAACACAUGAUGAAUUUUCUUAACUUAGCCAAAGAAUCUAUUCCCGUAUCGCCAAAGUUAAUAUGCAUUUAUUAAAUUCAUUACAUGGAAAUCAAGAAUCAUCACGUUUUCCACAAGUAACAUAAAUGAGAAACAUGCUCCGCGAGUUCAUCUCGGAAGAAAUAUAUUUUGUAGAUGGCAUUAGUAGUAAGUAGUCUACGACAAGCAACCAACAAAGGUCGUUCAAGGAAACAAUUCGGUUCAGCAUCUCGCCGGGCACAUAGAAAGAUACAGUGCGAGAAAAUACUUUCUAAACAGAUCUUAAAACACAAAGAAUUCUAUAAGCUACUCUCUAUCCGAAAACGACAAACGCAGAUUAGAACAGCAAGCUUUACAGCCACAGCUCAUGAUUUAUGAUCCUCGUAAAAGAAUCGGCAUCAGAUCUGAUCCGCCAAAUUCUUGAUCAGAACAAUUGACAAUUCCCGAUGAUCAAUUAUUACUGUAAAUUGAGAAUCACUACCACCAACCAAUUGCCUUAUUUUAUGUGGAUCAGAGAAUGAUCAGAAGGCCAUGUUUCAAGAUCAGAAAAAGGAUAAGGCAACCUUUGUCUCCACAUAGUGUUACUAAUACUGAACAAGCACAUGAACAGUUCCCAAUCCAGCAUAAAGAUUAUAUUCCAUUGUCAUACAAAUUCAACAAGAUGCAGCAAAAUCAAUCAAAAGAUAACAUCCCCCUUUACCGAAUCUAAGAAAGAAAACAUCUAUGAAAGACCCAGCAGGAACAGUACAAUGAAUAUAGGAAACAUAGACAAAUAGAUGAACACCUUGUUGCUUACCAUAGAACAUGUAAAAGGAAGGAAGGAAAACUAACAAUAUCCCAAUCAGUAUGAAACGAAAAUGGAAGUAAAUUUGGCCACAUAAACAAGUAUCCAAGUUUCAAAUCCAUUCCCGAGAUCAAACAGAACCAAUAUGCUCAUCAGCUCGGUGGAUCUUAUCAGAUGCAACAUGAUAUAGAGGUGGAGAUUUUGUAUGCAAGACAGCAGGAAAUAACGAAGAUGAGAAGAAGCAGAAGAAGAACAUGCACAAACUUCACUCAGAACUUCUCUUCCUCACUGAGACCCAAAAAGGGACUCUAAUUCGUGUCUUUAGAUCGAACUAAAUCCUUUCUGCUUGUGGCGAAUGAAGCAAGCACUAAAUUGCCGAAAAAAUCUGUUUUUUCUCUUGUAGAAAACAAAAAAAAGGAAAAAAAAAUGUCAACUUUGAAGGAUUUUGUUGAGAGUUUUAUCGAUUCGUUUCAUUAUCGCUUUAAGUUUUCAACAGCAACAGAGAGAUAGAAAGACAAGAAAAGCAGAGAGAUCGAUGAUCUGUAGAAAAAACAGGGGAAGGAAAGGCUUGGAGCAACCAAAUCGACGCCAGAAUCCUUAAACCACCGAUCCACAGAAGGCAGAGAAGAAAGCAAGCAACCCUAGAGAUCAAAGUAGAAAUCUCAGCUACUCUCGAAAACCGAGAAAAGAAAAGGAAGAGCUGACUACGAGAAAGCCGAAACCAAACAGAGGUAGAAAUCAAUCGAAAAAGGAGUCGCCUUUACGAGCCAGGAGGACGCAAAAUCGCACCUUUUAGCUUCUAUCCCCGCUUCUGGUCUCCCCUUACGCCAAUAUUAGCCCAUACUCGCUCAUCUCCAACUCCGAGCAAAUUUUAGAUGGGCAACAGAGAUCACAGAUUUUUUAUUAGAGGAGGAAAGAAGCGGAGCUGGUGCUCUUCCCUUCCGCCGCUUUAUAGCCGUUCACUCUUCUUUGCCUCUUGCGUUCUCUCUCUUCCUUUUUCUCUCCGUUUCUCGCCAGUGGAAGGUGGGCUUGUCGGGGUCGCAUGUGAAACGAUAGAGGUCGCUGAUAUCGACGGGAGAGAGAGAGAGAGAACGGGUUAAAAAGAAAGAAGGAAAUGCUAAGUGAUGUGAGGUUGAUUGGAUGUGGAUAAAAGUUGUCCAGUAGUGGAGACGGAAAUCUAAGACGGAGCCAAAAGCCUACAGUGAUGGAGUCGACGUUGCUGCAAUGCCUGCCUUCCUGGAGUCUUCCCCUGGAUUCAUUGAAUGCCAUGGAUUGCACUGCCUGCCACUGCUCCAGGAGGGGAUCAAAAAUGAGGUUGGUGGUAAUCAUCAGACACCAAAAAGCAAUCUUUCUAACUUCAUCUUCUGCAGAUUUUGUUCAUCUUGAUACCAGUCUCAGAGUGCCGACAACUGGCUGUUCCAAGAAGGCCCUCCUACAUGAACACCUUCCAACAGCUCAAACAUGCAAGAAAUCCAGAGUUCCGAGUUAAAUCCUGCUCUUCUGUUUCAGAACAAUGGUUGAAGAUAAAUUGUCAUAUCAUACUCAGGCUGUGUGUGAUGUAGUAACCAACCAAGGAACCAUUUUCUUCACAUUAUUGGAUCAGAAGUGUACCUCUCUGGUAAACACCCAAUUAACUAUUCAGAUACAAAUAAUCCUAUGCUCGAAAGGAUGGGAAGAAAUUAUUUCUAACCAGUGAUACAUUACACAAGAAAUACCAAAAGAUUCUACAAGUUUUAUGGAUCCUAAAUAGUCGCAAUGUAAAUGUCUUUGCAGGGUAUAUACACCACUUAUUAUUUGAGGACUUGUAGCAUUCAGUUGAAUUUUUGUACCAUUCAUUCAACAUUAAAUUUGGACCAUAUGGAAAGGGGGAAGAGAAAAAGCUGGCCAGUCUUGACUAAGCUUGUGUGGCCUGCCUCAUGAUGAAGACUUCGAUGAUAAGAAUGGAAGGCAUGUGCAAUGGGACUCCGUGGCAGCAGGCGACAUCAAGACAUUGACACCCAAAUUGAGGUAUUGGACCACUAAAAUGCUGCAGUCUUCCCAUGUCGACGUACCACAAGCCACAAACAAGAAGGCCAGAGUUGUGAGCAGUAGUAGGAACUCGGUGCCGACUGGGACAAGAGUGUGGAUUUAAUGCCCUUAAAUGAGCUAAGAUUGUUGUGUUUUUGCUGCUGCUGCUGCUGUAAGGGAGAUGAAGAUUACAUUACAUCCUCUGGGGAUGAUCAACUUGGGAAUUUUAUUAUCUUUUUUCUGUUUAUGUUUCUGAUUAGGUGUUUCAUCCACUUUUUUGUGUGGAUGAGAUGGUCUCUCUCUCUCUCUCUGUGCAUCUGUGUAUCUAUCUAUACUUUAAUGCAGGGCGAAGUAGAGAUUUAGGUGUCGGCAGGGGCUAAACAUGGGAAAUGUUUGAAUUGUUGUUUUCUUGUUUACUUUGGAUUGCAUUUCCAACCAAAACCUGUGUUCAUCAAAGAGUAAGAAGAUGCCAAGAAAUUAUCAUAUUAGAGCUUCCCAAAAUGAACAAAGAAGUGAAUUCUUAUUAGUCAGAUGCUUACUGGUUCUUGAAGUCGACUCGAUCUUGAUUACAAGCAUGGCAUUUGGUGGGUGUGGAUUCAGUUGGACUCCCUCAUCUUGACUAGAAUUCUCCAGCAAUAAUAACACAGGAUCCUGUGGAAAAGCAAAUUGUUCCUACUCUUUUGUCUGAAUUGGAUGGUACAAGUGUAAAAGGUUUGCCAUCCAUUUCCUUUUGAUCAAGGAAAGAAAUCUUUGGUGAUGAAGCAGCACAUACAAAGGAAGAAUACAUUGUGAGAUGAGAGCAAGGAUUGUUUAGCAUCCUUCAGCAAAGCAAAAAAAUUGAGGCUCUCAUUAAAUUCUUCUCGAGUAAAGGAACAUAAAAAAAAAGAUUUUGAGUAAGAUCAGUGAUUUCUUCAGCUUACUCUUGAACUUGAUAGAUAAUAUGAUGAUUAGUUAUAAGAUCAUUGAAGAAUUUUAUUUGAUACACCUCCUACCACCAAAAUAGAUCUACAAUUAGAAAACCAAACUGCAGCAGAUACACAUGUUGUUCUGUCCUAUCUUCUAGUAGUAGUCCAGCCACCCCCAUUUUGUCAUGACAGAUAGGAAAACAUACAGAGGAUGACAUGAUUUAGAUGAUUGAAUUUUGUAUGCCUUUGCACAUGAUUCUUAUUACUAAAAGUAUAAGAUGAUUGAGAGACCCUCAGAAUUCAGUCCACAUCAUUUAUCAGUUGCACUUGUCUACAGAUGAUGAAUUUCUAGAUUCAAAUUACAGCAGGUCAAAAUGUUCUUGCCUACAAAAUAUUUCAAGCUGAAAUGGCAUUUGGUUGCAAACCAUUAGCCCCAAUGCAUAGGGAGGAUAUAUCAAGAAUGAGCUCUCAAGAUGCAGAAGGUGAUGUUCUUGCCUGCACCAAGCCUCACCUUACCAGUAAUAUAUCUGAGAAGUUCAGCAUCUGAUCCAAUCAUUUUGAGACCUAGCAGAUGGCAUCUGUCAUCUGAACAUAAAAAAAGAAAUAUUGUGAUGGAAAAAUGCAACAAAAUAAUAUUUUAUUCUUCGUUCUCUGAAGCCUGUUGGAUGGAGCUGAACACAUUGCAGACAUGAUGAAAUAAAUAUCAGGGAUCAAGCCAUGUGCAACUAAAAAAGAAUGUCUUAGAGAAACUAAAAGAAAUGUCUUCCUGCAGUGCUGCACCCUGAUCAUGGCAAUGCACCAAAGAUGUUAAUUAAUUGCAGUGCAUUAAAAUUUUGUGAGUUACCUUUUUAUUGCUUCAUGGAGGGAAUUCAGUUCUAUGAUUGAUUUUUGUUUAGUUUCUAUGUAACAAAACUAUUACAAUCACAAGUUUCCCUAAACCAAACUUACAUUUAAAGGUCCAAAAGACCAGUCUCAUCGACCAUUUGAUUUUGUGCUGAAGGUUAAAGAGAAAAAUUCUAAGCUAGUUUUACGGUAUCGCCGUCUUGACACAGUUAGCCUUGUCUGUUCAGUGAAGAUCAAGGAUCAUCCAUAGCUCUCUCCUAAGUUUCUUCUGAUACAAAACUCUGAAGUUGUUUGAAGAAAUAGUUUAAUAUCACUUGCUAAAUCUGGAGGUUCUUGGGCUUUGAAAUAAUGAUUUAAUUGGAACCUUUUCUAAUAUGCUUCACUUGUGCAUUCCAUAAGUAUUCAUGGUUGGAGUCGAAAGGAUGAUACUAACUUGCUUUGGUUGACAACAACUCUUCAUCAGAUAAUGUUGACAGUUGAUUAGCAUACACAUCAAAGAUUGCUAAUUGCAAUCACACAACUUGCUUAUAGUUUAAUUCCAAACAAAAUGAAUUUUUAGCUUCAAAGCAGAAAUCAAACUAAUCUAGUGUUGAACUAUUCGUCCCGAACUCGUACGACAGAAACAAAAGAUGGUGUGAUUGUUUUCGGUCAACCAAAUCAAAUUUUAGAUGCAAUUUAGUCAAUCUAAACGAUCUGUUCAGGGUCGACUAAAAUAGAAGGCCAACUCAAAUUCUGCUCAAGAUAAACCACAAUAUUUUUAGCAGAAUUUUGAUGCCACAUUCAGGAUCAAGUAGAUAAAAAGAACUCAUCAUUUGGUCCCUGUGAAAGAUCAGGAAGAACGACGUAUGGUUUAGAUGAAGUCAUUAAGCUAUAAAAGGUAAAAGCCAAAAGAUCGUGCCAAAGUAUACCGGUAAUGCGUAAACUUAUGCAUUCUGAAUCAAGAAGGAAUCUAAUGAAGAAAGUGAGGUGGAUUGAUGUACUCCACAAUUAUGCAACAGGCAGUAUGGACAUGUAGUUAAAUAGACUUGAAGAACAAAGUAAAUCACCACCGAGAGGAAAAAUCAUGAAUUUCUGAAAGCAAGAACAGUUAACGUGCAAAUCCACCAUAAUAGUCAUAAACCAAGUUGAUACAAACUCCGUUCUUAUCGUGUUCUCACAUAAGAGGGUUUAGUCGAAGACAAUCAGGUUGAUGUGAGUUAUCAUGCGAUUAAACACACGAAUCUCUGAAUCAAUAUAUGCAAGUCACAAUAGCAUUUCUGUGAGAUGAUCAGCAAUAUAUUCCUAAGGUUGUUCUCCAUGUCAUUCAACUGAAGCAGUAUGAAGAAGGCUAGGUAGCCACGAAUGAUAACAAGGAGCACUCCAAGAGAAUGACAGCAAGGUGAGCUUUGUUUGAUGCUUGCCAAACGGAAGAAACAAAGCAUAGUGCAUGUGUGAUGUGUGUCUCCAGAUUCUAGUUCAUCUCUUUGGCUCACUGCCCCAGAGACCUCAUAGUACUCUUUAAACUUUUAUGGCACAUGCCAUAGAACCUGAGAAGAUGCAAUUUAAGAUGUUUGAGGAACAAAGACAUGUGGGAGAUUGUGAGAGAGAGGAUUAAACUAAACAGGAGAUGUAUAAAGGGUUGAUGCUCAUUAGAUCUCUCAAGAUUUGGUUGUAUCCCUGUUCCCUCGGUCCAUUGCAUUGUCUCAAAGCUUGGUGAUGCCAGCAAUGAUAUUUAAUACAGGAAGCAAAUGGCUCAGGAGAGCAUGGGAAGCAAAACCAAACAUGUCCAUGUUCACACCCCUGUUUGGCUGUAUUUUUUGGGCUCCUCCCUAAUUGACUGUCAUGCGUUCGUAUUAUCUUAACUUUAGGGAACAUUUGCACUGUGACUCUGUUAAGAUGAGCUCUGUGGGGCUCUCUCUUGCAGAAUCACAGGACAAGGGGUUGGCCAUUAGUCAGAACAUAUUAUGUUGUUGUUGUUGAGUCUUCUUUUCCUUGGUGUCGUCGAGUGCCCACCAAAGAAAAGCUAUACUGCCACUGAUACUUCUUUUCUUUGCUCCCAUAUUGCUGCAACUACUCUUAGUUGCCACUUUGGCGGUGACCCUAUUGUUUUGCUUUCCUCUACCACCAUGGAUCAGAACAACUAAGAAAAAUGGAACUCUCUAAGACAAAUUACAUUUGUGCAUAUUGAUGUAACUAUGGAGCCACCAUCGUUACUGUCAAGAUGAUUCAUGUCAGCACACGUUAUUGGAUUACGAACGUAACUUGUUCACAUAGCAACAUACGAUCGAUUCUUAUAGUAAGCAAAUGGCUCUCCUCAGGCUGACACGAUUUAUUUGGUGCAUACAUGGCAAGCGUUGGCUUGGAUUAUAAAGGUUCAAUGAAAACACGGAUGCUCAGGAAAGGGAGCAGAUUCCUUGCUGGCUAUGUUGCCGGAAAGCCAAUCAAGUCCCUCGUACAAACCCUCACCAGAUGUUGCACAAGUUCUCUGUAUAUACCUGCGCAUAAUAAGUCCAGAAAUCCUCAUCUCCUUCUUCGCAAACAGGCAGCUAAAGAGUUUUGCAAAGGUAAGCCCCAUCGUUUUCUUCGCUAUCAGAAGCGAACCAUACACCCACGGAUCUAAGCAAGAACACGAAUGGCGCAUUGGAUUUGGCCAAGAAAUCAAGUUCAAGAUAUUAAAGAGGGGCAAAAUACUACAAGGUCUACACGAAUAGGUUGCGAUCCGAAAUCAACAAGGAGAAAAAGAGACUGGCCAACCGAUCAAUCAAGAAUCUCCAAACUAAAGGCAUCUGCGAUUCAAAAGGACUGUAACCGAUACUCAAAGCGAUCUUCUGAGCCAACAACCAAGAAAUAGAGGAGGGAGUUGUGGCUACCUGAGAUCUCGAAGGCCGGAUGGCGGAGGAGGCGAGGAUCAAGAGGGGUCUCCGCUUCCGCUCCUCGGCAUUGAGGGGAGAAAAGGUAAUUAACUAAAACAGAAUCUCCCAACUUAGAGGACAAUUCGAGGGACGAAGGAAGUCGGCAGGGACAGUGCGCUCGAUGUAGGCCACAUCCUCCAGUCAUGUACUCAGUCGGGGCAAACGUUAUCUAACAGACUGUUACAAGUAAUUAUCAGUUGUUGCAGUCAUAUAAUUCGGUCACAAGUAAACCCCUCAUCUAACAGACAGUUUUGUGUUAAAUUUGAUUCAAAUUAUCAAAUGAUUUAAGUUAAUCCUCAGACCAAGUGUCAGAUUUAUUCUCAUAAACGCAGAUCCAUACUACCGGCCAAAAGAUAAAUCAUCUGAAAUGGUCCAAAGACAUCAACUCUUACUUGGGACACUGAUGAACACAUUUUAUGCAUGAAAAUUCCAGAAAACUGAUAAUUUCUCACAGGCUACAGUACCACACCAAGUUUCUAAUACAUAAAACUCAGCACCGUAUGAUAUCAAAACAAAACAAUUGACACACGUACAUAUGUAGGUCAUCAUAAUCUUUAUAAGAUGUAAUACUUGCUUGAAUGAUGCUGGAAGAAUUGUCUUUUGAGAUCAUUAGAUAACACCAAUGAGAACACAUCAAUAAAUUUCAUGAAUAGAAAACAAAAAAGAAUAUCAACCAGUUAGUUUCUAUAUGAAUUCCUCAACACCAGUUCAAAGGUUGCCUUACCAGUUAGGUUAGUAGGCACAAAUACCACAACCACAAUUAUUCUUUUGAACCCUCGACAUCCAACUUGUGCUGGUUAUGAGCACAAGAAAGUGGGCGAGUGAUGAACUGGCAACUGAACAAUCAUAUAUCAAGUCCUGUUUCAUCCUCACAAAUUUGGAUUCAAUCAUAUCUUUUGAAAUAAUUAUCUCACUGCCGACAGCCAAGUUUGAUAAAUAGCAUUAAUCAAGAACGAACAGAUCAGUCAUAUAUCUCAUCAUCCCCACAUAAAUGACUAACCAUGCAUAUUAAAGAACACAUUUUUCCCUUUUACCUUGACGCAUGCAUCAUCUCUAUCACCAACUUGAGAAUGACCAAGCAAUUUACAUAACCUGCAUGUUUCACGCACUGUAGAAAAUUCUUGCUGUAAAGGAAUUCCCCAUUAUGUUAUAAACAUUUUCAGUAAAUAAUAAUUAGCCAUUAAUACUAGUUUCAAAAGGAAAAGUGAACAUUUGUUUUAUGCCACCGCAAAUUUCAAACUGUGGCAUGGCCCAUAGAAGAUCAACUCCCAACAACAACCAAUACUCCAAGGAUGCCACAAAUCGACCAACAGCCUCAUCUAAUCUUGGGAAAAUCUGGUUUAAUUUCUAACAAAUGGGGUUAAAGAUGAAAGACAGCACCCUAGAAGAGUAAAUAAUUUCAGGCGGGUUUGCAUAUCUUAUAGCUAAAGCAUAGAUAUACCACAAAAAAUCAUCCUUCAAAAACUUCUUCAAAUGUCAUUACGAAAAGAUCUAAACAACGGAGACAAAAUCCUCAGCAAUCAAUCAAUUCCAUAAUUACCUACAAACAAUCAAUCAAUUAGCUUCAUAAGACCUUAUGCAUUUAGUUUCACCUAAAGAAACAGCAUUCCAAAAUACCACUGCAAAUCUUCUAUCUACAUUUUGAAACCAAGACUUCCAAAUUUAUUUGUCUUUAAAGGGUGAUCCAGUGCUUAAUUUAGAAAUCACUAAAAGAGCAUUAAAAAUGAUCUUAGUGUUCCGACUGAUUCUGAAAAUCAUUAAACACAUUUCCACUAAAAUCUUCAGUUAUUUUCAAAGGAGAAAUAACGUCAAAUUGAUAUGAUGGACAUGUCUAACAUCUACAGAAACAUCACAAGCACCAAAUAUUAUUUCCAUAGGCUCUCCAAAAGGGAGAAAUUUUUCUAAACAAUAAAAAAAAUAACAACAAAAUCAAACUAAUUUUUUUUUCUGUCAACACAUGCUAUCUAACUGUUAGAUAUUUUUUACUGGGUCAUAUCUUUUUAAAUACCCAAAAAAUGAUUCAAAUAACCUUCAGCCAUUUCAUCCUACUCCUUGACUCCCAGCUGAAUUUUGUUAAACUUAGUGAUCUACAAAGACUAAUGUUCAUCAUUACAAAAAAGUGACAGCAAUGAAAACUUUAAACCACUUGAUGUUCUAGCUUCAUACCUCAUGCUGUGAUAAUAAAUGCUUUUCUCUGUAGAAUCCAAAUCAGAGGGACCACAUCAAGCUACAUUGUAAUUUCCACAAAGAUGGAAUACUUUGAAAGUUCAGUAGCUAUAAACUGGUGGUCAAACAAUUUGGUUUAAGGGCUCCUCAAAAGAAAGAAAAAGCAGAGAUUCCAAAUAGAACAGUAUAGAUGGGAUUAAGAAGUCAUUGCAGCAUUAGAUAACACCAUCUCAAACGAGACAAACAUGUGAAUUUAAGGAUCCAUUCAGUGACAUAUGAUACAUCACAGGAAUAUUGCCCUAAACAAACAAUCAAAACAGAUUUAAAUGAUGUUAAUUUGACCAGAAUUGACCCUAAAACAAAGCUCAAAUGGGGGAAAAGUUCCAUAUAACCAUCUCCACAUAGUUACAAAGUAAGGGCUUUCGCUAGCAUUGCUGCAGCCCAGGAAUUUGUUGAAAUUAAAGGAGAGCUGUUCAGCUAGAAUAGAUGCACCUUAGAUUAAUAAACAGCAAUAGCAAAAUAUAAACACUCUCGGUUUAACCAAAGAUAUUGCCCUAAACAGAGCUCAGUGGCAGGAAAAAGAAUCAUGUAUGCAACCCAAAAUGGCUGACACGUUAAGGCUUGCUUAUCAUUGUUAUGUUAUGGAAAUGAAGUGUUUCAGUAGAUCAAACAGAAAGAGAACUGAGAAGGGAGACAGAGAGGAACAGAGAUGAGAUGAGAAGGAAUACUGGUCCAGGGCAAAGACAAAAUUACUUCCAUCAUGUAAAACAAUUUCACCACAUAUGAAACAAAGCCAACCACAAGUAUUUAGUAUUGGAUAUACCAAGAUUCUCGAUGUCUUAGAUCAGGAUAUCUGUAACUCGAAUCAAAUAUAUCAUCAACAUCCUGCUAUCCCUUACAAGGACCAGCAGCCUUUCAAGCCCUAAAACAUUUUCAAUCCAGUUAAAAUACAUCUAUAUCAAUCACAAUUGAUGGAUCAUGUUGAGAAACUAAUAACAGCAAUGUAUGUUGGCCACUAGUGCACACUUCUAAAGGUUCCUAGAUGGACUCAAAUAAUGAAUCCAUGAAAUGAUUUACCUGAUCAAUAUUAACCAUUGAAGCAGAACCAUAAAAACAACAGUUUUAACAUGACCAAACCCACCCAAUCAGAACACUAGAUUAUACAGCGUGCAAAUUGCACAGGGAGCAAACCAAAGCGUUGAGACUUCUCCAUACCAUCCAAUCCAGUUUCAGGUGUCUAAUAACUGGGUGCAUCAAUAUACCAACAAGUACAAUAAAGGUAUCACUAAAUCAAAUAAAAGAAAGGCCUCACAUGAAAGAGAUGAAGUGAUGGAAAGCUUAAUCAUGAAUCAAUUAGCAAACACAUCAAAAUUGGGACUUAGAACAAAACUGAACCUGAACAAGCAUUACAAACCACAACAUUUGAACUAUUUCACCAUAAAAUAACCAGCAUUUUCAAAGUACAAAAGUAGGUUUCAAACGUUUCAUACUCACAUUUUGCAAAACAUGCAUAUAAUAAUAAUUAAAAAAAACCAACACCAUCAACUUAAAAUCAACUUUUUAAGAAAAUUACAUACAGAAACCAAGCCAAAUAAAUAAAAUGCUAAUGGUAUCUUACAAAUUAAAAUAAAUACCUGUAACUAGAAAAAAUUAAUAAUAUAGUCAACAAAUCAGAAAAAACAGUUUAAUAAACUAGAAAGGUCAAUAAUCUUUAAAUCCGCAAGGUUCUUUUACAAUUUAGCAACAAGUCAUUUAUAGGGCUUUAAGAAGCAAAUAUAGUAGCUCAAAAUACUGCAUAAGUGGAAAGGAUAAAAGAAAUUUAAGUAUCACAAGGUGGUUCCAAAAACUUGAGUUUAAAAUUCAUUGCAAACUACAGAAAAGAUGCAUUUCAUUGAGCGCAGAAGCAGGAACUCCAGAAGGAUCAUCUGCCCAGAACAAAAUAGAUUUAUGCACCUACAAAGGAUCUGCAAUAUAAGGAAGUGUGAAAUUAUAAAAAACCAAGCUUCGAACUAAAGAACUGUGCAUGAAAAAAAUUACUGCCAAGAAAACUUAUCCAUUCAAAUCCACAAUUAAUGGAUGGAAGUUACAAAAGGCAAUAACAAUUUGAUAAAAAGGCUGUAUAAGAUAAAAAUGAAAUAAUCAAAUGGAACCUGAUAGAAUCAAAAUUGAACAAGAAAAUCCAAACAAUAUGAUAGCUAAUGUAGGAAGCUUAGCAAUAAGUAUUUUGUAUAAGGGAAAAAGAUGAAAGAGGAUAUGACUUCAAACUAUUGAUGCAACUGGAUAUGCAAAUCAUGCAAUUAACCAGUUUUGAUGCCAACUGUGAAAGACAAUAAAGUUUCCAAAUAUGCAUAAAAACUAGAAAACCAAAGGUUGUCAAGAUGGUUGGCAUCUCACAUUUUCUAAUUACUUGUCAAACAGACAACAAAAAUUUAGCCUCAAAAGAUUUUGGAAAGCUAGAAUCAGCUGUGUUUUUUCUACCAGAAAAUAAUUCUAGAUGAAAGCAGAUAAUCGGGAAAGAAAACAAAUGCAAGACAUUUGAUGCUGAGAAAUGCCAAAUGUCAACUGAAGCUUUGACUAAUAUUACUCAUAAAACUUGCUAGACCACACCAUUCCACUAACGAGUUCACAAUCAAAGCACAGAGACAAUAGUACAUGUUCACGACAAAAGAGCAUAUUGAAGACAUUAUUGCAAAUUAAAAUUCUUUUAACAUCCAAUCAAUCAGUUACUUAACACCUCAUCAACAUUUUGCUAGGCAUUCAUCACAGAGAUAACCUAGUAAUAUUUCUAUGUUACAAAUGCAAUUAGUUGGAAUGUUGAAUGCUUGAGAUUUGAAGGUUAACAGUAAACAAAUGAUCAAUAUUAAAGAAGAAAGAAAUUGUUCAAACUAAGUUAUUUAUUUGAAGCAAAUUAGAGUAAAGAAUUCUUAUAAUUAUUUGCCCCGAUGUAUCUGCUGAGUAUUCCAUGAUGGCACUAGUAUAGUAUCAUAUCAUCCAAAUUCUGUCGAACUUACACAAGCAUUUCAAGUGAUCAAAAUUUUCAAAUCACCCACUGCAAUACAUUUAAAAAGUUACUGUAUGAUCCUAUAAAACUUUGACAUGUCCAUAACAAGCAAGUGAAUUGAACUUGUUACUCCUUUUUCGCUUCUUCAAAUAUUCUACUUCGUUUUGUAAAUCAAAGCUCUUUAAUGGGAUAGAUAUCACAUUAUUCAUUUAAAAUUAAAAGAAGACACAAUGUAAUUGUUCAAAGAAAAACAAAUUGAAGCAGAUGGAUGCAUAACAAUCAGAAGCAACUCUGUUUUCAGAGGAAAUGGAAAUGAAGAGAGGGGAAAAGAGAACCAAUGCAGGAUAUAUAGAGAACGAUGGUGUGUAUUCUUGCAUGGAAAUUUUCACAGAGAACACUUUUUACUUAAAAGACCUCCUUUCUGGUGCUUCCUUGACAGAGUAAUCAACCUUUUAUAGCUUAAUUAUUUAAUUCUCCUGAUUUUUUUAUUUUUUUCCAAAUAACAUUUUCAAUAUAUUACAUGAUUGAAAAUAUAAGGUUACAUGCAACAAUACAUAUAAAUAGUAGUCAUAACAAGAUCUAAAAUAUUCUCUAUAGCUUUAUGUAGAUAUUUUUAUCUUUUUUAUAAUUUUAUAAUGAUUAAUAUCUAUCAAUUCUCAGUUCAAAAUUUUUUUACAACCGACGUGAUUGUAUCGUCAUCAGCCAAUACUGAUACUGAUUAAUAAAGGUCAUAUUGCCACCUUUAUAAACGUCUAGACACAUAGUUCGUUCCUAUACGACCACGAAUUAGUUCGUAGACCAAUCCUAAAAAUAAAAUUAUCUUGACCAAUCGGGAAAGAACUUCCUAUUGAAGUAGAAGAUAGCCAUGACGAGAAACAGCAGCAAAUAGAUAGAUAGGACAACUCUUCUGGACUUUUUACACUAUAUCAUUAUGUAUAUGUAUAUUGAUGUUUAAAAAAAUUGAAAGAAAUGUAGCGGAUGAUAAAAAAAUCAUAACGGUAAGACAUCUAAAAUUGCUUCUAACUGUGAUUCAAGUAAAUGAGAUGGAAUUGUCAAAAAUUGGAGUUAGCUAAACAUUAUACCUGCACUUAACUAACGACCCAGGUAAGGGCCUAGGCCACCCAUUUGCCCAAAUCCUGUUUGGUUCCUUCCAGAGCCUCCCUGUCCAAUCGAAGCAUUCCCAUAUCCACCCUGCGUAUGUGCCUGUGAGCCAUAUCCUCCGAUCACCCCCGUAUUAAUGUUUCCCCCAAGGCCACCACCAUAACCACUGUUCAAUCCAUGCCCCGAGCUGUUUGCCAAUGAUCCAGGAACUCCCUGGUUCACGACUGAUCCUGCCACAAGGUUCGUCAAGCCCAAACCAGCUCCUUGAGUCGCAAGGAAUGCAGUCAGAGCCUGCCCCAAUGCAGGAUUCAACCCUGCUGCUGCAGCCACUGCAGCAGCAGCUGGUUGAGAAGCCUGGUUGAAACCCAAUCCACUCGCUGAAGGGGCCAUCAGGUGCCCAGCACCUGAGGCACUAGACAGAUGACUCCCGACACCUCCCAAAUACCCGGGCUUGUCAGUCCUCGAAAAGUGUGAACCAAGCAGUCCACCAGCAACCUGAUGCAAGCUACCAUGGUGAGCCGCUGUAGCCUGAAACUGGAACCCCAGCUUGUUUGGCUUCGGUCCAUCGAUUGCCUUCUGGCAAUGCAGAAUGUGACCAUCGAAAUUCUUGUGGGGCUCCUCCAAUGCUUUCUUUGCACUCUCAAUCGUCUUGUAAACAAAUAAAGCAAACCCCUUGGGCUUCCCGGUCAGCUUAUCCAACCCUAGUGGCCCCUCCUCGAUCUCCCCAAACUUGGCAAAGAACUGUAACAGCUUCUGGGGAUCGAUCUCCGCCCCAACGUUGCUGACAAAAAUCUUCCUCUGGGUGUACUCCGACACCGGCGGUGCCGGUGGUGGCACAGGACCAGCGGACGCGAGCUGGCACGCGGUCACGCGGUUGCCGAUCUUCUUCUGAGGCUGCUCGAGGGCGCGGCGGGCGCCGGCACGGUGCUUAAAGAGGAUGAAGCCAUAACCCUUGGACUUGCCGGUCGCCUUGUCCAUGACCGCGUUGCAGUCCUCGAUCUCGCCAUAUUGGCGAAAGGCGGCGGUGAGCGUCUCUGCGUUGGUGUCCCAACCGAGGCCAUGGACGAAAAUCUUGCGGUGGGCAGGGUCCAGGUCGGCGAUGCGGUGGAUCUCCGCCAGCACGUCCGGGUGCCUCACAGCGGCGUCGCGAAGGAGCUCGACCAGGUGGUCCCUGGGGAAUGGCUCGAGGAGCUUCUGGAUCGAGGUCGGAUCGUUCUCCACCACAUCCUCCGCGUCGUUGCCGACACCGACGCCCCCGGCGGAGGCGCCACCAAGGUCUUCAGAGGCCGCGUCGGAUUGGGCGUUCUCAUGGACCGGAGGGUUCGCAUCGGCUCCGGUCGGGGUUUGUUCCUCCUGGGACUCAUCGAUCGCGACAUCCGGGCCGGACUCUUCUUGGACGGGCUCCUCCUUGGGUUCUACGACGGGCGCGGGCGCUUUGACGGCAGAGGAAGGCGUGAGCUUUCGCUUCUUGGCCAUGGCGGCAGAGUCGACGACGGCAAGCCUUCUAGGGUUAGGGUUUGGCGCGGCAACACGACAAUAUAAUAUAAUGGAUAAAGGUGAACAUCGUCACGUGGCGCAGGGUAGUGUGGUUCGGAACAGAGUUCAUCGAACGGCCAGAAUUCGAUCAUUACUUGGCUCAACUCCUGUCUAAUUAGGGGGGCUGUCGAACCGGCCUUUGCGUGGAUACGGUUCGGCCCAACAGCUGACGAAGUCCCGCUCAUUCAUAUCGCAGUCCCAUUUAGUUAUAAUAGUGUGUUCGCUGUUGCGUUGACUUGUAUUUAAGACAAUGGUCAAAGGUUGACCAUUAUUUGUUGAAAUCCUAACAUUCAUAACCAUCAUAAUUUGUGGCCCAUCGACUCUCUCUCUCUCUCAGGAACACAAAAAAACAGAAAAAUGGACUUGAAAUUAACAUAAAGAAACAGCAAUAUUGUUCCAAUUUAAAAAUUGCUUGCAAUUCUUUUUUUUUUUUGUUUCUAUUCUGAUGUUGUCUCAAUUUAUGACAUUUAUGGAAAUGUUAAUUCAUUGACGCAUGUUCUUGUGCAUUCAAAAUGGACAGCAGUAAAUGGAACUCACAGAUUAUGAAGCUAAGACAGGUUCUUCAGUCGCUUUGAUGGUGUAAGCUCCUUCAACCAUCUCCUCAGUCAUCGAUCGAACUUCUCUAUCGGUCAUUGGAUGGAAUUGUUCGACGCAUGAUGACGACGAGCGGAUGUCUUCGACACAAGCACUCUGGUCUGGUGACCUUUUCAUCUUCUCCUUCAUCAUCUGGCUUGGGCUAACCUUGCAUAUGCCAAAACAGGCCACUCCGAUGUUGCUCUCGUCGCCAUCAUCUCGGGGUACGUCUUAGUGAAGGGAGACCAUUUUAAUCUGCUCGUCGCCUACUUCGAUGGCCUUGUCCUCCGGUGUCUGCUGAUUUAGGCCUUUGUGGCGUUGCAGCUCAGAGAAGUGCUCUCCGAUGCAAGGACAGGCUCCACCUGUCAUUUAAGCUAAUUGUGCAGGCGAUUACCAAGGCAGAUGAAGGCCGUACCUGCGUUCAUGGGAACUCGCAUGCUUGACCUUGAACUUGACCUUUCUCAGAUCAAGGUCAUCCCCUAGCAUUAGAAAACCGGCGUUCGAGAGGUGGGUUUCAGAUCCAUUGUCCUUUCUGCACCGGGAGCACUGUACUUUGAGGAAGAGGACGGGAGAUAAAAGGGCGGAACCAACCAAUGACGAGGGAGGUUCAUGGUCUAGUUGCUGCUCCACUGGAAUAAAGAUGAGCGGUUCUUGGACGUGUCCUUGCACUGAGCAAUGGCAUCUCCUCACGGCUCAAGGACGAGGAGUCCAUAAAAGCUGGAAGAUGGUGGGAGACUCUGUCGUUAGAUGAUGCACACAUGUGAUCUCGAAUGCUUGGCUGUCCUUUCUCUCAUUAGAUUAAAGCUGAGGCUGUCAUCGAAGGAAAUCUUUGGAACAUGGUAUUUUAGUGGGAACAGUGAGAGAGAGAGAGAGACAUCACCAUGAGCGCAACAUAUGUCCACUGACCUUAUGUAGGAGAGAGAGCUCCUUGGUGUAGAAUUGAGAAUUCAGGUGGGAGAACUCCUGCAGAAGACCAGUUCAGAUGUCUUCUGUGUUCCUCUGGCUGAUUACAAUCUUGGAUUUGAUUAGUUCCUCUUCAUUGGAUGUUUUGUUUUGGUCUUGCAGAUCGUCGGAGGGGUGUCGAGUCUUGCGUGCAAUCUUUGGUGGAUUUGGUCGAGCGCUGAGAGCAAAAGAAGUUGAUGAAUGAGGUUCGGGCCGAGGGCAACUGAGGGCGGUGGCGACCGAGGGAGAUUGGUGAGCUCCAAAGCCGCCAGGGUGGGCCUAUGAACCGGGCAAUGAUGGAAACCGACAGAGGCUGCGGCUGCGGCUGCGAGGGAAGCAUUCCGGCGCCUCAUGCAGUGAACAGGACGACGGCGGACGAGGUGUGGAGGGACAUCCGACAACGGAGGAGGAAGGAGAGCAGAGAGCAGCAGCCUGCGCUGGGUGAGAUGAUCCUAGAAGACUUCCUGGUGAAUGCCGAGGUGGGAGCUGAAGACUCUUGUAUUGCCUUCAUGCCUCGCGAGCACUGGUUGCAGCAUCGCCAUUGUGAUCACCAUCAUCAACAGCUGCAAGCUUCAGCGUUGGCCAGUGACAACCCAGCGACGUCCGAUCCGCAGACGCCAGGGCGGAAGAGGGCGGCAGGAGGAGAAGUCUCGGAGAAGACCGCGGAAAGGAGGCACAAGAGGCUGAUCAAGAACCGGGAGUCAGCGGCACGGUCGCGAGCAAGGAAGCAGGUGGGUCACUCUACUUCCCCACCGUGGAGUCAUCUACAGCGAAGGCAGGGUGUUGGCUUCCUCUUCUCCGUUUUAAGGUUGCUUCACUCUUUACACAGGCUUACACGAAUGAGCUGGAGAACAAGAUCUCCCUCCUACAAGAAGAGAAUGAGAGGUUGAAGAAGCAGAAGGUAAGACAAAAGAUUAAGAAAAAUCUUAAUUUCAAAAGGAUUUGAUUCAACUUUAAUAAAAAAAGCUUAUACCACCAUUAUACUUCAUGAACUAACAUAUAUACAUAUUUGCUGGUGAAGGGUUAUAUUUACCUUUGUUUUAUUUGCAGGAAUUGGAAUCAGCAAUUCAUGAACCACAACCAGAAACAAAAUACCAGCUCCGCCGAACGAGAUCAGUUCCUUUCUGAUCUUUAUUUUGUGGUACAGAUGCUUGUAUUUUGUGUUGUUUGAGCUCUCAAUAAGUUUCAUGGCAAGUCUUGUGGUCUUGGCUUCAGGAUGGGCUUCAUUGUGAAUGAAGCAUUGCCUUUUUAGCAUCAAGGAGUGAUCGAAGUUUCUGCUUGCUAGUUUUCCUGUGAAUUGCAGGCAUACAUAGGGCUCAAAGAGAAGGCAUGGAAGUGUUCUUUACCAGGCUGUACAAAUCAUAAACUCUUCAAGGAUGCAUUUCCAUGUCCAGGUCCCCUGAAUAGAACCUUUCAAUGCAUAGACUCCAGCGAGAGACUAAAAGCAGCUUAAAUCAUAUGUAAAUGACCUGCAAUGAUAAGUAUUUACAUUAGAGAGCAACUAAAGCAGCUUAAAUCAUAUGUAAUGACCUGCAAUGAUGGUAUUUACAUUGGAGAGUAAAAACAACAACAAUGAGAGUCGGUAUUGACAUACCUAUCUGAUAGAGCAAGUCACCUGAGAAUAAUGCAUAAGAUUCAAUUUGUAGAACUCAUUAUGCACAGAAAUUAUACUUUUAAUUUGAAAUACUUCAGUUCUUUCACAAUAAUAAUGCAAGCAAAACAAAUUUCACCUGUAUAAAAUCAGUCAGAUAAUGCUGCUUAUGAGACAAUUAAUAUUAACUUUCUCUGAAAACAUACAGUUAAAAACUUAAGUUACAUGAUUUGGGUCGUUCGACUCUAAAUUUUAAUUGACUAUGUUCCUUGUAAGAAAAGCACGAGGGUAACAGCUUAAGCUUAAGGCAAUCAUCAACUGAUAAGGAUGAUUGUCUUGGUGCAUUCAGCUGUCCUCGUGUGGAAUGUAUCACGCUUAUGAUCCCCAAUGUCUCUCUCAAAAGCUUUUCAACAUACAAGAAGCUGUACCAGAUACAUGGAGUUCGGGAAAUGCGGCAUCAAUGAAUAAGAAAGUCAACUUUAUUCUGUUGAUUGAGGCAUUCGGACAGGUCGGUGAGGCUUUGGAGCUGCAAUACACAUGAUAAAAUUUUGACAACAUUAUAUUGCUGUAAAACAAUUUAAUUUAAAGGAAAAAGGUUAGUUUAGAUUAAAAAAGGAACAAGACCAAACAAUGUGGUCUUUGAAAAGUCGAUUCACAAUGAUAACUAGAAGGAAGUAGCGGACCACAUACUCGGAUCUACCAACAUAACAAUCCUCUCUCAUUUAUUUGCUGUUUGGGUUGGAAAUCUGUCAUGUUAUUUGUGUAGGUCAUCAUGAAAAUCUCAAAGUUGCAUACACAUGGAUUAGUUCAUUACAUAGGUCGUGACUCACAAAUUGGUUUCUACUUCAAGUAUGCUAAUAAAAGUUGGUGAACUGAGGUCAAAAUAUUAAUUUGCAAGUCAUCGUGCUUCACUGGAUAAGCAUCAAAUCCAUUCUUACACCAUCCUGUUCAUGUCACCUGCAGAUGAUGUUAAGGUGAAUAUGGGUCUUACAAAAGAACAAAAAACUGGUUUAAGAUGCAAAUUUUGUUCUACCAUGCAGGUUAACAUGGCAAAGUAUCAUGUUGGAGAACAUGGAUAAAGAUUUUGAUAGAUGAUGGAACUCGGGAUAGGUGGCAUUCUCACAAGAGAACGUUCAGAACAAACAUGAGGCAUUGUAAGGAGAAAGACCUGAAGCAUGAAACUUAGCAAUUGAAAGGAGAAACAACAUCAAAUUAUGGAUGAAGCAUGAUAGAUCAUGAGGUGAUGUACCAUCUUCCGGGAAGUUGACUUUCAGGAGGUUUUCCUCCAUAAAAUAAGUACAAAAAAAUAUAAGGAGAUGGAAAUGAACCAGAAGAUUAUAACUGGUUGAAAAAAAAGAGUACAAAUCUUAAAUUGAUGUGAGAAUACUAUGCUGAUCUAAAAUUGAUGUGAGAAUACAAAUCUUAGGCGAGUUUAUAAAGUGAAGAUGUUUCAAACUUUCAACAUUCAAGCAUUGACAGCCUUGCUACUGUAUUGCAAUCAUGAUGUUCCAGCAAAACAUGGGCUACAUGAGUACAACUCGUCAAAUCAAUCAAACUGGCUAAUCAAACUAAGGCCUUCACCAUAAGAAAAUAAAGAGUGAUGAAUAAUUUUUGAAACACAAUCAUAAAGCCAAAGACCAAAGAAACCAAUUGUCAGGCAAAGUAACACCAACCAUAGGAACCUUGAAAUGAGAAGUUUCAUUUUUGAUCCAGAAUGGUAAAGUCAAAUGGGAAAUCCUUUGCCUUCAGAGGCUGCUCUCUGAAUGUGGUGAUUAUUUAGUAUAGCAAAGUGAAAAUUAUCAAGAGAGAUAAUAUGUUGUCCUUGCGACACCAUGUUCAAUAUGAGUUUUAUAAAGUUUACAGGAGCAUAUCCAGAAUUUCAAUGUGAGACGAGGUCCACAUUAAUUUGAUUAAUGAAUUGGUAAUUAUGGAAGUAGGUCAUCAAAAUAAUUAAGGGUCUCAGAGUGAAUAUAUUGAUAAUAAAAGACAAAUCAGAAAAGAUGAAGUUAAUCAAUAAAUGAAACGACUAUGUCGGUAAGAAGUACCAUUGGGAUUUCCUUGUUCAUAGAAAUUUCGGAAAAGUGCAACAGCUUCUUCUGACAUUAGACCUCCAGUACAUUUGAAACUCUUUGCUUGUAAAUCACCUCUGCCACAGAACAACCAAUAACAGUUAUAAUUUAACAAAGCAGUAAAAUCUUUCAUCGAGAGAAAGCAACAAGAAUGGAACAUUCACUGGGAGAUAUUCUAUUCUAUGUAGUUUCCUUAAGGUGGCUGAUCAAAGUACAUGAAGAGGACAGUUGAGGGGGCACACACACAUGCUCAAUUAGCUUCACUGGUAUCCAGAAGAAGCUAUAAUUUAUAACCUGAAGUAUACAAGUUCAAAGCUCUUUAAAUUUUAUUUACUGGUAAGAACAGGACAUCCAAGAGAAACUCCAGCAGCUUGGAUAUAAGAAACUUACAAAUAAGAAGAACAAUGUUGUUUACAUCCAAUAAAAACUCCAAGCAAUUUGGAUAGAAGAAACAAAUACAAAGAACAGACAGCAGCUUCAGAAGAUUUAUUAUUCAACAUGAAAUUGACAAUAAAGUAUAAAAAUGAAAAAAAUGUCAUAUAAAGCAUGUUUGCAAGUCAGAAGGCUAAUCCAGCUACCAUCCUCGAUUCAUUCAAGCGGUCCUCAAGCAAAUUCAAGAUCCAUGGGGUAAAUUAACCUGCCUCUGGAAGGUGCUAAAUUUCUAUGACCUUAAGCUCAACCAUAAAAAAACAAAGAAAAUAUUUCAUGCUAUUAUUUUCCUAGACAACGAAAAUAUAAACAAGUAUUAUGGAACUCAGAAAAACAAUAUUAAUUUUUCAUUAAAAGAAAAAGACCAAAAAUAAGAAGUGAUGACAGUUUAGAAGUAAACCUGGACAAUUUUUCAGAAGCACUUUCAUGUAGGGAUAAGACAGAUCCACAACCUCCAAAUUUAUCAUUGGAACAACCGUAAAAUACUUUUCCUAUUCCUAAAAAAGGAGUAUCAAGAGUAAUGACAAACUAAGAUGUGAAUGGAAGAAUAUCAAGCUGAAGAAGGUAGAAUGAGCAAACCAAGAAUGGACAAAGCCGUUGCACACAUUAUGCAUGGUUCACAUGUAACAUAUAGAUCACAUCUUGAAAAUUUCUCUGCAACUUCUGAUUGACCAAGACCAAUCUUUUGCCACUCCUCAAGUAACGUAUCAAUAGCUUCCAUUUCUGCAUGUCUAGUAGCCUGAACAUAUGAUGGUGAUAACAUUCACAUUACCCUUCCUAAGAUCACAGGAAGUAAUUUCUCAGAUACAUAUAAGAACUACAGUCUUCCACAAUAAUAAGUUAGGCAAGUUAUAAGUAAGCUUUCUCAGAUGCACAACAGCACACUGUGGUAGACAAUCAAGGAAAAAAGAACAAAAAUUGCUGGGCUUUUCCCAGAAAGACAACUAAUAACAGUGAGGAUACAUGAGUAGAGAAGCAGAGUGUUGACAGAUCACACUCUGCUGGAUCCUUUCCAUUUCAAGAGAGCUAAGAGAAGGGUGAGUAUAUUGACAAUGUAAAAGAAAAAUAUUACCAGGACCAUUGGUUAAAAGAAUUCGCUUUUAAUAAUUGCACACAGCUUUUCCAUCAAAUAAAUUCUGGUGUUAUGAAAAGACCACUUUAUAUUCUUGUAUACUAACAUAAUAUAAUUCCUUUUGCUAUUGAUACUAUUCGAGUUCAACAAGAGUGAACUUAUAUGUCAUAUAUUACAUAUCCUGUAGAAUCGAUACCAUUAGUUAAUUACAUAUGUUAAUGAUGGUAAGAUGGUGAGUGAAUCAUAUAAUCAAUUAAUGUCAUUCAUAUAUCAAAACUUUGUAAUAGAAGGUUUUCAAUGUGAGGAAUAUACUGAGAGUACAUACUAUUUUGACUGAUUUUAACUUUCAGCCCAUGACUUACAUUGACAUAUUGUAUGCACCUGUGCUGAUGGUUCGACAAACACUUAAAAGUUCAUAAAAAUUAUCCAGAAACACAUUUAUGUUCUGCAACAAUUGUGCACAUAUUGAACCUAAAACUCGGAUGGAACAUAAAUCUACAUCAGAGUUAAAUUUCCAAUAAAUAAUUGAUUUUUUUUAGUUUUUAGGAGUACAGAGAACCCAUUGUUGGUCGACUCAAUGACAAAAAGAAAAAAAAAGGUUGCUAUACAUAAAGAUCAUAAUAGAAAUCAACUAAUUGCAUACAUACAUUUCGUGUUGCUGAGGUACGGUUGCUACCCGAGGCUAUGACUUUUCCAUCCUCCACUAUAACACAUCUAGUAAUUCAAGAAAAGAUGUUCAAUGAUAGGAUGGAAUCAAUUAAAAUAAUCAUACACACAGUGUCAGAAUUUGAAUCCUCAUUAAUAUACUCUAAAACUUUUAAUGAGACAGACGCAUGAUGUCCAUCUGUAUCUCUAAUUCCAGAAACAAUUUAGUGCAUGUGAUAGGUUCAUGAUCUCUUAUGUGACAAAAUAUCAUUCUAUUUUGCACCAAAUUAUAUUAUUAACAAGAACUUGUAAAAUGUUUUCAAGUAGAUAAUAGUAAGAAUCAGUGCACAACAUUCAACCAAGUGACUAAUACAACCUGAAAAGACAGGAAAUGGUCAUUACAAAGAAAGAAGGAUUAUGUUAUGUAAGCUCCAAAUGCAUUAUAACAAGAUCCUCCACCAUUCUUUUAAAAAAAAAUUGGAAAAAAAUUAUUAAAUAAAAUAUCUUGAAAGAGGAAUAUAAACUUACCCAACUGGAACUUCUAGGUUUUCGAGAGCAAACCUGGCCUGACAGAUAUAAGAAGAAAAUAAGCACAAAACGGAACAGAAAUCAGUCUCCAUUUUUCAAAAACAUAAUAUAUAAAAUAUUUGAGCAAACACCAAAUAAUUUUAGGUUCUAUGACACUAAACCAUACUAAUGUACAUAGCACGAAUUGAUCAUGGCUGGUAAAGUAUUAUGGUUCUGAAGUUCCCAUAUAGGAGCGUCAAUGGUUUGUGUUCAUGGUUGUGUUGAGACAAGCACCAAGAACCCUAUUUAAGAAAAGUGUGAAAGAUACAAGGAAAAGAUAAUUUAAAGGUCCAUGUGCCAAGAAAAAUUAUCUGUACCCAGUGGUUCAUGACCACAUUCAUGAGAUCAGCAUGUCAAAACACUAUAACACAUAGGCCAUAACCAUCAAAACCAAGCAAGUUUAGUUCUAAUACAAGUAUCCACAAACACAAUCUCUAUGACAUGUGCCUGAUCCAAUAGUUAAACCUAUAGUAAGUUCAAUGAAGAUAUAUCCAUCCAAGUUAGCAUCAGAAUUUAGUUAUCAUAGACCUUAAGACUAUACUUUGAAGAUAAAUAUAAUCAAUACACUUCAGAUCUGUUCUAAUGUGAACUUCCGUCAACUUCUGUGUAGAAAAAAAUUAUAAGCACAAAACAUAACAAUUUCUCAAUCAUACAUCUUUAUUUUUAAAAGCAUUAUGUGAUUUAACAUUCAAUAUUUGUUAGGAAAGGGAGAAAUACAGGAGAAUGAUAAUCCUUUCCAGUUUCAGAUUAUAAUAGUAACGGCAAACUAACAAGAAAGUCAAAACAUAAAGCACAGCAGAAGAUAAUUCACAAAACAAGAGUAUAUGGAUAAUGGACUUGACUUUCAAGCCUAACAAGAAAACACUUAUUCCAGGUUGCACUUUGAGUUAUAAAUGCAAAGAUGACAGUCAAAACGUAACACCAAGAUAUAUAACACAGAAAUUAAUGCAAGAGGUAGAAGGAGAAAUGUAGAGUGCCUGACAACAAGAAAUUUUAAUAUAAUCAGCACGUAAAGCUAUAACUUCUCAAGAUUAAUUUAAAGUUCAAGAUACCUGCUCCAAGGCAAGCUCCAUGAAUCUCAGUUCAGUUAACAAAUCAUGUCCUGUUUCCAGUGCCAUCUGACGGCAUAACACGGGAGUGUUAACUUAGAUGCACAAAACCAAAACUAACAAAUUUGCUUGAAAGAACAAACUAUUGCAAUCAGACAUUUGAUAGUUACAUUGUAAGUCAGGAAUUUUGUCAAACAGCUGGAGUACACAACAAACAGUACCAUUUCUAAAGUGUUAAAGACCUUCGAUUAUAAUAGGAUUCAAGUUUUGCGGUUGAGUUGUUGAAGACAGAACAACUUAGACCUUUAACCCGUGUUUAGGCAGGAUAGAAAAGUCCAAUAAUGAUAUCAGAUAAAUCUAGCUUCCAAGAGUAUAACAAUAGAAGAUUUCCAAAUUGUUGAACUAAAACACAAUGCAAUUGAAUGAACCAACUCAUACAAUGAGGGACGGACGGGACAGAGAGGCCAGAGGGAGGAAAGUAAUUCUCUCGGUGAACGUCAACUCUAAAGCUGCAUGGUUCCGCAAGAUUUGAGCAUGUGAAUGCAGAGAAUUGCUGAGUUCAUCAUGUAUAAGUAUAACCUUUUCCCCUUAAAUCCGAAUAUCUGAGCAACGGAGACCUAAGCAAGUUUUAGAGAGGGGAGGAGAGGGCAGAACAAAAGAGGGGAAGAGAGGAGGGCAUAUGAGAGGGGAGAAAGCGGGAGGAGAAGAGAGGAGGUCCGUGGAUGAAACAGGAGAGGGGCAGAGAGGAAAACACAGGCGAGCGAAGGUGAAGAGAGGGGAGGAGACCUUACGAUCAAUCAGACCUCCAAGGUAGGAGAAGAGACGAAAGGAGAAGACAGGGGGAGGAGACGGAAGAGAGGAGAGAAGAAAAAUAGUACCGACAGUUGUCCAACGGAAGCGACUCGGCCAGCGUCGGCGGCAGCUGAAACGCUAGGGAUCGCUCGUCGCUCGUCCCGUGCACGGUGCGUCGGCUUGUGGUCUUUUAUAGGAGCCCGAUGAGUCGACUCGGACGAGGCGAUCGUUUGCACCGAGUCGACUCGCAAGAGGACCCGAUGCCACGAGACCCACGUGUGAAAGGCGCAGCCGACUCGUCAGGCUUGAUCUGGGCCGUAUGAUCGCACGAACCUACGGCCCAGAUCGCGAGUUUGAUAACCUUGAAUUAACGGCUUCCCCGUGGAUCAUCUUUUGCAGCAUCAAAUGCUAAAUAAAUAUUAUGGAGAAAAAUGUUAUUGGCAUAUUAAUAACAAAUAAUGUCUCUUUGAAAGUAUUCACAAUCUUUGGACUCUACUAUUAGAUAAACAUACCAUUGAAUCUCUCAAAUCACAACUAAAACCUAAAUUAAGCAUCGAAAAGUUCGAAUCAAGAAUAAUCCGAUAUGAAAUUGAUGACCAAAAGAAAUAUUAACAUGAAAAUAAGGUGUGAUUUUUUUUUACAUAUUUAUGGUGAUCUCAUUUUUCAAGUUAUUGUUAAGAGUGGCAUUACAUUUAGCUUAGAUAUGUCAUUACAACUGCAGCCUCUUUAAGCUGCUACUUCUGUCUGCAUGUUAUCCUAAUGCUCCUCUCUCUUCUCUCAUGGUGAUAGAGGAGGGAGAGAUCAUCAUGAUAUGAUAACUCAACUAUUUUAUUGAGCUAAGACAUAACUUUAGUUAAAUUAAGAGUAUUUUAAUUCUUUUUUAAUUUAUUUUUAAUCAUUUUAUCACUCUCUCUCCUUACAAUUGAACUCUAUACAUUCACAUUUACAUCCUGCAACAAUUUUUUUUUUAGCAAGUCUCGAUAUAAUUUAAUUGAAAUACUUAUGAAGGAUUAAACAAAAGAAUUGGGGCUUGAUUAACAUUGAUCAUGCCAUCUUCUAAUAACAUUGUCAGAGUAUGAGAGCUAAUUGAGUUGGAGUAUAUGAUGGCUUCUUGUGAUCAUGCACAAGCCUCAAAUUCUCCAUAUGGAUUUAUUUGGUCAACCUAACUCAGAUUCAUUUUGAGAUGACAAUUUAAGUGGACAUAAUUAAGUUUAUAUCCACAAAUAUUUAACUGCAGGCUAAUUGAAUCAAGUUCAUGCCAUCUUAGCUUUACUCUGGUCAAUCACUAUUCAUAAGACCAUCUUAUUGAUUCACUGAUGUGGACUUUCUUCACACCAUCUCUCUCUCUCUCUCUCUCUCUCUCUCUCUCUCUCUCUCUCUCUGUGAAGCAGACCAGAGUGACCACAAAAGCUCAGACAUUGUCAUGCAUUAGUGAAUUGAGGCCUGGGUGAAUGGGAGUCAUGUGAGAUCAUUAUGCACAUCAGUGCAGUAGCAGUUGCAAACAACUGUACUAUUAUAUUGUUACCAUGUCAUCCUCACAUAUAGUCAGCACCUGACUGCAAGUAGAAGCUUGAAACCUGUAUCUGCACUCAUAAAAAAAGUAGUACAAUUGUUAGUAAGUCAACUCUGUACAGUGUCUUUGUGGCAUCCAGGGCUACAUCUUACCAAAUGCUACAUAAUAUUGAUUUCAUUAUGUAUUUAAUGCACAUAGUAUAGUAAUAUUCCUAGUCCUUUCACCAAGAAGCAUCUAACAAGUCACAUUGUUGUAACCAAACCAUGUUUUUGCUGUCCACAGAUUGUUUAGGUUGUCAAACUCUGAAAACAAAAGCCACAACAGAUUAUAUGCUCAUCUACAAGAUUUUAGAUCUGGUGCAGAGUGAGGUGGGAAGCUGCUUGGAAUGAGCCUACAAACCCAUGAUGUUGAAAUAAGAACAAAAGAAGAAGAAGAAGAAAAUUUCAAGUGAAAUGAAGGAAGAAAACAAAACAUGUCUGUUCUAAGGUGCAUAUUUACCAGGUUAGGAAUAGAGAGAUUGAAAUGCAUUGAUGACAAGAACAGAGCAAGCACCUAAGACACAAGAGGAAUAGUAGAUAUCACAGAUCAAGCAGAUGGAGCAGGAAGAACAAUAUUUAGCUCUAACAAAACAAAAGCACAUCAAGCUGAAGCUGUUAAAAUUUCUUAGUAGAAGGUAGAUGUACAAAAGAGCUGAGAGAUUGUUUCACAAUGAUAUGUGCCAUUCCAAGAUAAAACAGAAAGAAAAUAUACAAUGAAAACAAGUAUUGGUAGUAGUGUUCUUCUUCGAGUGUGUUUUUCCCUUGAGAUGUCACAGUGAGGUUUGAAAUUAUAUGACAAGAAACAGGAGCAGUUAAAAGAGCCUUAGAUAUUAUGCAGAGGUGGGUGAUAAGUCAUACUCUCACUCUAUAGUACACAACUGAUACUGAAACUUUGUGGGGGCAACACAUUAGUAUAGCCCAAAACACAACAUGCUCAGCGUUGAGAUGAGAAUUCAUGACUGGUACUCCAUUUUAUGCACUAUAACAUGUAGAUCAGUAAAUCAAAACAUUCUUACUGUACAGGAAUGCAGGAAUGGAGGAAAAUUGGAUGGCUACUGCAAAUGCUGAUGCCUCUGUUCCUGAGGAAAUGGCACUCUGCAACUGGUUCCACAUAAACAAACAAAACGAACCACCGCGAGCCAUAGGAAGAGAACGAAGGCAAGAGGCCGAAUUGAUUCAAAAACCAUUCAUCUCCAAGAGAUAAGUUCGUCUCUUCAGUAGUGCCUUCGCUGCAGCCUGAAAUGGCCCGUCAAAUGCCCCACAAACAAAUGCCUCAGCGUCCUUCCUGCUACAAUUGCCGCUGCUGGUGCCCUCUUCUGCGGGCUUGAUAGCCACCAGCGUGGCUCCCUGCAAUGCCAUUCCCUCGGGCAGCUCCAAGUAUGGAGUGUAUCUCAGCUUCAUGUUUGAUGCAGGCACCUGAGUCCUAUUUGAUGAUGCAGAGGCUGCCAAUGGCUUCUCUCUGAACUCUUUCAGCUGAUCCGCUCCCAUGGUCAAUGUUCCCUGGCCAUCGGCGUCCGUCAAGACCACACUUCUCAACGUGGGGUGAUCCCUAAUUAUCUGUCGGACAAGAUAGUGCCAUGUGGAAGCAGCAAUCAAGGAGCUGAUAGUCCAAACAACCCGCAACUUCAGACCUCCAUUCGUAUAGAACGGCUCCGGUAUGCUCCCAGUGUCUUCCACUGACCCCUCCAGAUUGGCUGAAGAAGGCCUGCGAUCCAUCUUGGUCCCACCCAAUAUCACACAGUUCUGAAGGGUGCUUCCGAACUCCGCUCUCCACUUCAAGAAGACGCCAUCUUCCGUUCCGACGUCGCCAGCAGGGAGCUCGAUCCUGAGGUUGCGGACAUGGGUGAACUUCUUGAGGACUUGCGCAGGGGAGUGAUGGGAGAGAUGCGGCAAAAGAGGCUUAUGCCCGGCACUAAAGUUCUGGAGGUGUUGAAAGGGCUUGAGAAUAGCGAACAGCAUGAGCUUCAAGAGAUGGGCAAGGAGGUUUCGAGGUUUAGGGGAAGACAGGGUCAACGCCUCCUCCGCGUCACCAUCCACCGGCACGACUCGGCCGAUCCUAACAUACACGUCGUGAACCUGGGGGGCCAGGAUGUUGAAGCGUUUUGACACGGCCAAGCAGCGGCCGAGGGACCGGAUAUCGGCGACCUUGUUGAAGAUGAGGAGUACAAGGGAGUCUGGAAUUUGAUCGAAGUGGUCCUGGUAGAGGGAGGGGUCUGCAUGGAUUCGGGAUUUGGACUGCAUGUUCCCUUGUUGGGCAAUCAAGCACUCUCUUUGGACGCUCGCGAACAAAGACCCUCCGAUGGAUUUCCUCCUGUUCAACUCAAAUGUCAUGGUUACAUUGACGAUGAAAGCAAGCUGAGAUCUUUUUUCCACCGGGACAAAGGAAGGAAUGCACCGAUCUAAUGAUCUGCAUAACAAAAGAUAAGAAUCCCAUAAUUGUGAUCGAUUUCAACGCCCAAAAAAGAACCUUUUUUUCUCAACACUAGCAGGUUAAAAGGAAGCCCUUCUCAAGAACGGUGACCAACGGAAAAUUUCAACCUCGGACGCCGAACCUCGAAAUCAGGAGUUUUGGAAGGAAAACAUAGCUCCAGAAAACAAACUCGCAUCAUUCCUUGAUGACGAGUUCAAAUCUUUUUGAACCGAAUAGACCCAACAUUAGACAGACGAUUGGCCACAAGCUCGAAAUCCAAGAAGAGCAGACAAAAGAAACAUGGCUUAAAGUGCAACAGAAAUUACCUCAAAAUCGCCGACGGCUGCAACCUCGGAGGCUCCCAACUCCCAGGAAAGUCCAAUCUUUGUCCGCAAAACCACUUCCCUAAGGAUCCGAAACCACGCAGCUUCGCCGAGCUUCGACUGACUCGAACGAAGCCAAAAUCUCAACCUGAUCCGCGAGAAGGCAGAUCUCGGAGAGUAGCAGAAGCAACACGAGGCGAAUCUAGGGAUCGAUUACGGGAUUUCGAUGAACGGAGUAGGGCUCUGGGGAGGAGGAAGUGCUCGACAUUUAUGGAUCUCUCUGGGUUCACCGGGCCGCAGGUUUUCGUUAUACCAGAGGAUACGGAACAUGACGAAGACAAGUUAACGGCGCGACGACCGAGCGUAACGGCGCACCGAACCUGGUAAGAUAUUUUGAGCCGCUGCUGUCCCAUCGAAUCGAUAACGCGGAGUGUUAUGUCACGCUGUAACGAAUCGAUAUAUAUCUUUAAUUUCACUAUCCUUAAAUCGCAUGAGAUAAUAUUUUUAUCAUUAAGCUCUAUAUAGAAUAAUAGUUUUGGUUAAAUUAAUAUAUUUAAAUUAUUAUUUAUAAUUUCUAUUAUAACCUUUUGGAAUUUUUUUAUAUAUCGCAUCACUAAAAUCUCCUUAAAAUACAUAUAUAAUCCUACAAAAAUUUCAUCAUAAAAACCUAAAUAGACAUAAUCCUUGUACAAUCCAAAGAGUUAUAUACUAUAAUUUCUAGCAACAUUAUGUUCAACAUUAUUAUAAGGUUGAGAACUAUCAAAUUGAAUUAUUUAUUAUUUUAAAAUAUGAUAAAUAUUUUGUGAAGGUAAAUUAUUUCUCCGGUUUUUAGACUUGCAUUUCUAUAGCAAAAUCUAUAUGAUUACAAUGUCAAUCAUUAGAAAUAAUAUAUCAAAAAUAAUAAAAAUAAAAAAUAAUAGAAUCCGAAAAAGAAUCAAUAUGCAUGGCCUUUCUUCUAUACUUGGAGGCACAAUUUCUUUGCCUCCAAUUUUGAUCUUUAAUGUGAUGGAGGACCUUAACAUUGUAUCAAGAUCCAUCCUCAUAUAUGGUAAUAAAUAUUCUCCACUCUACAAAUAUAAACAGCACAUUAUUUAUCAGCUCCUUUUCAUUCUCUCCAUUCUGGAAACACAAAACUCUGCAACUUUAUCCAUGGGUUUGUUGUGUGCAUGAAAAACCCUGAGCAUUUUAUAUUGAGCAUCUUGUAUUUUCCUGAUCAAGAUUCUAGCAUACAUCUCUUUUUUCCAGAUAUGCAAACUCUCAAUUGUUAGAUUCUUGUGUACACCACCCCCCCCUGAUUAGCUAGCUAGAACCAAACUUUUGAAGGAUGAUUGAUGUAUGUAUACCUACACAAGUCUAAAUUGUGAGAUCAUAUUAUAACAGGGAUAAGAUGUGCUAAAUCUCCUUUGAAAAUGAUCACCAGUCUCCCUUGGUGAAUCUGUAGGACAGAUGUGUCGAAAUGGUGCUCCUCAUGUUUAGACAAAUGACUUUGCCACCUGGGGACUAUCUGGGUCUUGUCCAGAGACAGCAAAUUCAAAUCUAACCUAUCCAAUGAUGCAAGAUAAGCUUUUGAUUUCUGUGGAGAUUUAAGUAAACCCAAGGGGGUUAGAUCAAGUAGCUGGUUCUGAAAUUGAGGCCUUGAAGUGGUUUAGCAUUACUACCAAGCAUCAGGUAGAUGGCCUACAAUGCAUGAGAUAAUAUUUACUAACAUGCAGCUUGUAUGAGUAGGCUGCCUAGGAGUUGGGAAACCUUUUUUUUUUUUGCCUUUCAAUGUACAUAAAAGACUUGAGAGAAAUUUAAAGAGAUCAUCAUACUUUGUAAGAUUUCAAAUUGAAAGCCAAAAAACUCUGAGCCUAAGUAGAUGAAAUAAGAAAAGUGAAGGCUUGUAGUUUAUGCUUACCCACAACAAAAGCACAGAGAUUUCUGUGUCCUUGCUUCAUAUCUAAAACUACUUGUUUGCAGAUGGACAAGGUUAAACCAUCACAUCUUCCAAGUUAUUGCCUCUGCUCACCAUGAACUCUGUAAUUACUGCACCAAAUAAAAGAAACAGUUAAACUCAGGAAGGAUGAGAACUUUUAACUGAGCUAAAAUGUUCCACACGAUCAAGUCAAAUUCUGGGCAUUUUCAUGAAUAACACAAUAAUUCAGGAAGGAUGAGAGAAAGACAGAGAUGAUUGUCAAGAUGAUAGCAACUGAUGCCCACAGGAAAGAUACACGGUCUGCAAUUAAAGCUUUGCACAAGAAUUGUGUCCUGGAAAGGAUGAAUCCAAAUAGGCGGUUGAUCAACGACAUCGAUCCAACUACCAUCCAGAUCAGCAAGCUGAGUUGCUCUUGUUUGAGCAUGUCAGAAACAACCAACUAGCUUUUCAGUUCGAACACACAUCCUUCUCACCAACCUAAUCAGCAUCAGUGCCAAGCUGCAAGUGUCAGGGAGGGAAUCUCAUCAAAUUCUGGUCCUGGAAGCAUUGUUGCUGGCUAAGUGGUGGUCGCUUUCCACUUUUCUGAACUUUCACUUGAGAAAAAGAAGGAAGGGAAGUUUGAAUUGGUUGUGAGAAAUAAGGCUGUCCAGAACUCAGACAUACUCAUGCCAAGCAGAAGCAUCUCAGUGAAUAAUGCCAGAGCAGUUGGAAAGAGAAAGCUCAGGCUUGCAUCUCACACUCUUCUUACUAUGAUGUCCCUUGGUAUUGUCACCAACUUCCUAUCAGUGUCUUCUUUUUGGAAAUAAAAGCAAGUGCUCACAUGCUUUCGGUGUCCUCUCAUCUUGUAGGUUAAGAAAAGAUUGCUGCUUCCAGAAGAGCCAUAGUUAAAAUAAUGUGAUACUUUGGAAAAGCAUUAGCUGCACUGCUUUGUUCAAGGACAAGAGAAUAUAGUGGAAGAAGAAACAGACAAUCUAGGCUGGUGUUUACCUUGUGGAAAAAGGAAAAAUCUCGAUCAACCACAGGCAAAAACCAAGGAUGGUAAGAAGUUAGCAAGUUCUGGCUUACAAGAAAUGCUUGAAGGAUCCAGCUGCAAUUUCAUUUUUGUCAAAAAGAAACAUUGUCAUUGUCAUAUAAAAUUUCUCACUACUGAUAUAGGCAACAAAUAAAUGAGUAAAUAGUCAGUCGAGAAGAAAAUUUUCUCAAAAGCAGGCUUCAAAUUGCAUUUGCAAAUGUGUCCAAAUCAAUUUCCACAACAUAUCUAAAAUGAGUUAGCAUAGUUCGAAUAUGAUCAACAGAAUUCUAAGCAGUUUGAGACAGAUGACUUGAGAUCCAAGAAAUCAAAUGGGUAGGAAACAACCAUUCCUCAUGUAUGAAAAUAUAGAAAUCUACAAACAAAAAUUUGAACUUUGAUAAGCACUUGGGAAGAAAAUGCCAGUUGAGUGAUAUAGAGGGCAGUCCAAAGCAUCUAAAAAUGCAAAAGGCAGCAGCUCAUACAUCCAUCUCCAGAAACAGACAUUGAUUAAUGAAGAGCAGAGCCACAGAUAAUUCGUAUCUAUCAUCCUUGAAAAUCUUGCUGUAACUUUUCAUCCUGAGUUGGGUAGAGGUAGUGAAGAUAACUGAGACAUCAAAAGCAUGUAAGAAAAGAUAAUUCCCAUACAGCAAGCAACAUGAUCGAAGGGCUCCAGAAACAAACUGUUUCCUAUCUUUCCAUUAUCCAGGGGACUUCUGUUGAAUUAAAAACACUAUGAAGGGAAACAAACAUUGAUGCAAGUCGAUCAAUCCAAAUACAGGAGUGAAUGCUUCAAUAACCAAGAACAAUUCACCAGGCCCAUUGAAAUGCCUGGCCAAACAUCUGCCCAAGUUACAGUGCUCCUAUAUCUUUUGAACUGGCAAAGAUAAGAUUGUAUCUGCCAGUUUGUUUUCACCAAACAUAAAGGAAUUGUAGAGUUAUUGGAAUUCUUGUAUUGUUCAGUCGUAUUUGGGUCUUUCAAACACAAGAGACUUCUCUUUGAGCAGCUUUGUAUACAUGUCUUCACCUUCUCAUGGCUAAACAUUCUUAGAGAAAGGAACAAGUAUCAUGAUCCUGUCUGGAAGUCCAUGAGAGGCCAAGUCUCACCACUUGUUCUCAUAAGGUAUACUUUUUGUUGGUGGGCUGACAGCAUUCCAUCUCUCGUUCAGAGUUCCAAAGCCAUGGACACAGACCAUUGGGCUGAUUUUUAUGAGACUAUAAGUGACAUGUUUAUGUAUGCAGAUAUGCAUCAUUAUGCAAAAUUUGGAAUUAAAAAUUAUUUAUUGAAUUAAUUGCAUUGUGUAACUUUCUAAUUCUGCCUCCGUAGUUAUUCAUACAUUAGCAGUUAGUGGUGUGCUUCUAAUUGACCAUUUAAGCAUUUUAUUUUCCUUAUAAUCCCAUUUAGCACUAUUACAUUUUUCCGGUUCUUCAACUUUUAUCUGGUUAAUUAUUUGCUUAUGUUUCUGCAGACUAUUUAUGAGAACUUUUGGUACCAUUAUAGUGAGGAGGAGAAUCCAAUUACUAGAAAAGGAAACAGAACCAUAUGAGCGAAAUUGAACUGACCAAAUGCAACCUAGCUAUGCUCCUCAGUCCAUGCUCAAAAAACACAGAAAUGGUAUGCCCAUCUGGACCAUAAUUUCAGGUUAGAACUUCAGACCCUGCUUCAAAUGAUGGAAUAGAAAGCAGUUAAACCAAUUGAUAUGUGACAAGAUGAGCAGACAUAUAGAAUCCACCAACAUAAAUAAUGAAGCAUACAUAAUACCUGGUAAAAGCAAGCUGCAGUCUUUGUAGCAUUACCUCCAGUAGCUGGCAGAGUUAACAAGAAACUAUGGAGGUUUAAGAUAGUCCAUCUAAUUGCAAAGAUUUUUAAGUGCUAUGACUAAAACAACCAUCACAAGGCAGCAGUUUGAUAAAUAAAGAUGAAAAAUUAAAGCAGAACAUCUUCAAUGCUUUUUAGGGUGAAUCGUUUAGAAUAUGAUGAGAUGGAGACAAUCAGUACAUAUUGGUCUUCAUAUAGAUGCAAGUGAGACCUGAGAAUUCUGGAAUAAAGAGACAAAUCAAGAGAAACAAGAUAAGACAGUCUAACAAGGCACAACCACCACAAGAGAUACGAGAAUAUAUAAGAGAAGGUUUUCCUACUAGUGUGCAAUGAUUUUUUCCCAACAUUUAUCUUAUCUUGUGG
rnacentral:lncRNA from 1 species